AAUACUUGCUUCUUUUAUUUUUCUUUUCUGACUUUCAAAAAUUAUAUUUUGUCUUUUUAAAAUCUCAUAAAUAUUUUUAGGAUGUUACAGUAUUAAUAGACUGGACGAAAUGAUAAAAUUAUCUUUAUUUGUUUUAUAAGAAAAAUUAUUUAAUAUAUUUUUACUAUUUUCAAGAGUAGUUUCGAUAUAAAUUAUAAGAAGUGAAAGGAAUAAUGACAGGACCUGACGGAGGAGGGCUAAAUACUUCCACUUAAAAUUUUGAGGGGGCGAAAUAUAGACUUUUGAAAGUCGUGAAAGAAAAGUAAAAAAACGAAGAUUUUCAGAAAAGUUUUAUAUAUUUUAGUCAUAAAAUAAUAAAAAAGAGUAUGGUUGACCGUACUUUAGAUUAUAUUCUAAUUCUAAUGGUUUUUCAACAAAUUUUUUUUUAAAAAAAGAGCUAGUUAAUUUGGUGCUACCAAUAACCAGUAUAAUAUAUUAAGGCUGCGUUUGGUUCGGAUAUAAGGGACUGUUUGGUUGGAUGUACUUGCAGAAACAGUGUAGUUGGAAAUACAUGCAGUUGCAAAUGCUGCAGUUGUAAUUACACCUAGUCUGUUUGGUUUUACGCAGUUGCAACUGCUGCAGUUACAUUUCUUCUGUUUGGUAAUAUGAAGCUGAUAGUUGUAUUUGUGAAUUUUGUCACAUUUUCAGAUAGAGUGGUGAGAUUACCUUCACUAAACAUAAAAUAAUUGUAUAAGUUUAUUAAUCAUUUAAAUUUACUAUUUAUAAAUAAAUAAGUAGAUGUAUAUAAUAUUCUUCAACUUAUUAAUCGACACAUUUAAAAUUUUUAAUUUAUUUAAUUUUAAUAUGUAAAUCAAACUUUAAAAUUUAAAUGAUUCUCUCAUUUUUUUAUCAAAUUUAAUAAUUAUAAUUAAUUAAAACUUAUUAAAUUAACAUACACGAUCACAUUCUAUAAAAUUUUUUUAAGAAAACAAUAUUUAUAUUUUAAAUAAAAUAAAUUUAAAAAUUUUAAUUUUUUGCACAAAGCUUGUAUUGUCUAAAAAAUUUUAUUAGUAUGAGUUUAUUUAUAAGUAUUUCUAUUUACCUAUAUACAUAUAUUAUUUAUUUAUUUAGCUAUUUAUUUAUUUAUUUAUUAUUGUUAAUUUGUGGGUGAUCCUAUCCCUCACCAACUGCUGUAGUUGGAACUACGGCUAAUUUGGAUGUAGUUCCAACUGCAGCAUUUGGACCUUCUUGUGUAGUUGGAAUUGCAGCAGUUGAACUCAACUACACUGAACCAAACAAAGGAAUUGAGGUUGCACGCAUUUGCAACAGCAAUGCAGUUGCAAAUGCAUGCAACCAAACAGCCCCUAAGUAAGAACUGUUUAUUCCAGGAAUAAAUAUAAGUUCAGGUAUAAGCAGGAAUUAGACUAAUUUUAUGUUUGAAUGAAAAUUGAGUUGUUCCUAAGAAUAAGAUAAGGGUGCGUUUGGUUCGAGUUAUCCUGGCAGGAUUACAGGCAAUCCUGUCAGGAUAACUGUGUUUGGUUAAUCCGCUAUGUAAUCUAGUAGUUAAUGUAGCAUUACAAAUCGAGCAGGAUUAUAUCGAAAAUAUUAACGGAAGGGGGGUCGUGUAUCUUGCAUUACUGGAACCCGUUAAUACUACAUAUUAUGUAAAAUGACAAUUUUACCCUCCAACAACUCCAAAUCUAAUUAACAGCAUUAUUUUCAUCUCUCUCGCCUUCCCCCGGCCCUCUCUCUCGCACGCCGCUUUCUCUCGCUCUCUCUCUCUUGACGUCUCUCUCCCUCUCCCUCUCUCUCUCUCUUUCUCUCUCUCUCGCGCACGAACACCUAUCAUCUUAUAUUGCGUUGUCCUCCUAAGUAAUCAUCACGAUCUCCUUCCCUUCAUUCGUCAUUUUCGCAAAAAAUAAUAUUCAAAUGACCACAAUAAGGGCAAUUUUGAAAAAAAACUAUACUUUUAUGUCAGGAUUACUAAAUUUUAUAAACUGAACCAAACAUAUUAAUGCUAUAAACACUGUAAUCUAGUAUUACAUUACUGUAUUAAACCAAACGCUCUAAUGCAGCAUCAGUAGUAAUCUCACGCCAAAAUCCAAGAUACCUGGAUACGUCGAGAUACUUUGUAAUAUUACAUAACUCGAACCAAACGGGCCCUAAUAGUAUUUGGAUGGUUAGAUUGGAACAAGAGGAAUAAGAAUUAUACUUUUAAAUUAAAAUUAUUUAUCUAAUUAAUUAACAUCAAAAUAUUACUUAAAAAUAAUUUAAUAAAUUAAUAAACUUAUUAAUUAUUAAUAUUGUAUAAGAUAAUAAAAUUAUAUUAAUUAAUUAAUUAUAAAAAAUAAUUUAACUUUUUAAUUAGUUAGUAAAUCAUUUUAGCUAGAUAACUAGUAAAAAAAAUUAAUUAGAUUAAUAGAAAUAUUAAUGGUUGAUCAAUAUAAAUAUUAGUUUAUGGAUAAAUAUAUUAAAUUAUUAUUAUUAAUAAUUAAUUAUAAAUAAUAAAUUAAUUAAUUAUUUUAUUAUUUAAGCAAUAAAUAAUACUUUAAAUAUAUUAAUUAGAUUAAUUAAUUAUUUAAUAUUAUAAUUAAAAUUAAAUUUAGAUUUUAAUUAAUUUUGUUCCCACUUGAAAACAAAUUUGGGAACAAAUGGGGGAAUAUGGGCUUUUUUUCUCUCUUAUUUUCAAACCAAACACUACUGCGCGAUGUAAUGUUUUUCCAAAAAGAAGAAACAAUUACAACCCAUUUGGAUUGUAGGGCUAGCAUUGCUCUUACAAAAUUGGAUGGCAAAAUGUAUGAAGAUCCCCUAAACCUUGCCAUUUUCAAAAACAUGCUCCUAAAUUUGUAGUUUCAACAAUUAUACCUUUUAGAUUCUAUCAAAUGAUUCGCUCGAUCUCUCCUCAGCCGAAGUUUCCAAUUAUUUUGUCACAAUGUACUACGUAUAACCUUGUAAGCAUUUAAAACAUAAAGGAAUCUUAUCUUUUGUAUUCUAGUACAUAAAAAAAUAAUAAAAAUUGAAAAGAAUCCAUUCUAUUCUAUAAUUUUGAUGCUUGAUUAUUAUAAUUAGAAAAAAAUAAUAUUUUUUGUGUUUUGAAGUUACAUAAAAUUAUGUGUAUGAAAUGCAAUCAAAAUGUGGUUUUAAUUAGUAACUUUACUUGUAGAGAGGGAUCUAUUAAACUACUUGAUUACGUCCAGAAAAUCUAGUUAUCGAAGUUAAAAGUUCAGGUGCCUAUUGGAAUAAGUGCGGAAGUUUAAGGAUCUUCCCUAAAUUGAGUAAUAUGCAAGGAUAUUUCCGUACCGGUUCAUUUACUUCAGUUUCUUUGAAGUUUUUCGUGUAUUGCAUUAAUCUGUGACUUAAAAAAUUUAUAGUUUUUUAGACCUGUGGACAGAUAGAUGGUGUGGUGAUGUCACUCUAUAGACGUUAUUUCCCAUUGUUUAUGAAGGAGUAGUGCGAAAAUUUAUAAGAAUCAGCGAAUGCUUGUCGAGUAGAGGAUGGAGGUGGAGAAAGAUUCUGAGAGGAAUUACAACAAGAAGGAGGGAAACGGACCCUACUAUUUUAGCCUUGAAAGAUCAUAUCUCUGGUUUUAGGGGUGGAUCAAAGAUCGGAUAGAGUACUUGGGAGGUGGAAAGCUGAUGGUAAAUUCACUGUGAAAUCAAUAUAUGGGGUGCUCAGUGACGGAGGGACAAGGGAUGCCCGCGCCAGUAAGUUAUGGGGUCUUCAGAUACCUCUGAAAGUUCAAGUUUUUACUUGGCUCGUUCUCAAGAUAAGACCACUUACAGCAGAUAAUCUCAUUAAGAGGGGAUGGACAGGGAACACAACCUGUGUGCUCUGCGGAAUUGAGGGAGAAAUGGUGAAUCACCUAUUUUCGCGAUGUGUAUUCAGCAGAUUCAUGAUUGCCAUGGCUGUGGAAGGGGUUCAGGUUGGGGACCUGGGCGAUGAUGUGAGGUACGUAUGGGAUAAGUGGAUGGCAAGGGAUAGCGCUCAGUCUGCUGGAAACAUAAUGACUGAACUGACAGCCAGUUGGUGGGUCAUCUGUAAGGUAAGGAAUGCCGUUAUUUUUAGGUUGGCUAAUGCUGACCCCUUGCUAACUGUCAACUCGAUCAUACGUUUGAUGCUUCAGUGGGAGGAGAAUAGUGUGUUUAAACGAGCGCAUCCUGGCCCCGGAAUUUAAAGAAAAUUAAAUGUUGGUUUUUUUUUCUCUUUUAAUUUUAAUUUUAUUUUAUUCUACUUUUAUUUUUAAUAGUAUUUGGAUCAUUUUACUACUAAGUUUAUAGUUCUUGGAUGAAAAAUUAUAGAAUUGUGAUGUUACUAGUCCCCUAAAAUUUAAUGAUCGCCUUUCUAAAGUUUAGUGAGUGAUUGGUAGAAUAGUAUAUGAUCUACGAAAUAAAAUUAAUUGAAGAAUAUAUUUAAUGAUGAAAAUUUUAAUAGCACCAAAUACUUGAUAUUAUUAAAAAUAUCUCAGCCGGACUCUUCCGUAAUGAUAACAAAUAACAAUAAUGAUAACGUGUCCAAGCACUUGCGGGGGCAUUAAUGGAAAAUAACACUGCGGUCUGUGCCUCUAUUAAAUGCACCUAACUUUGAACUCAAAAUCAAACGCUGAAUUAAGAGAAAUUAUACUAUAUAGCAGUGACACCGUAUCAUCUAUAACCAAUCAAUCACAUUUUCUUAUUUGAAAAAAAAUAUAGUAAAAAUAUUCUUCUAAUAAUUAUAAUGGACAGAUAAAUCAAAAAAAAUAUUUUGAUUCAUGGGUGACACAUUCCAGAAUUUUUCCUAAAUUAAACACUGUGUGGGCCCCGCAAAACUAUAACCAUGUACAUUUUUUUGCGCCCCUGGUGCUAGGUCCCCGUUACGCGGUUUCUAAACCCCACGGCAACCAACGAGGAUCCACCACGUGUCGAGAUCUCACAGGGAAUUUGAUAGGGUUUUUUUUGCAUUUAGCCCCCCGAAGAAUUUUUAUUUUAAAAGUAGCCCUAUCAAAAUUUAAUUUGCAAAAAUGGUCCUACUCCUGCCACGCAAGUGCCACGUCAGCGCCACGCGGGCGGGGCCGGGGGCGGUAGUUAAGUUAAACACGGUGAAUCAUUCACCGUGUUUAGACACGGUGAAUGAUUCACCGUGUUUAGUACGUAUUUUUUGUAGAGGAAUAGGGAGUUAGGGAUGUUAAUGGGGUAUGGAUAUUCAAAAUAUUAUUCGAACCUAAACCCGAAUAAAUUAUUUUAUAUACAUAAUUUAUUUUUACAUAUUUAUACAAUAUAUAAAAUAUCCAAUAAUUUUUAUUUCUUAGAUCUUCAUCCAAUCCAACGGUAUAAAAUAUCUAAUAAUUUUAAAAAUCUAUACCAUUGGAUUGAUNGGCUGAAGAACUGCCCGGCAUCACCGGUGUCGCUGAGGAGGCGGUCGACAAGUGCGGUGCGGUCCUCCGAGCUGAGCGCGGCGACGUCGACCUCGGAGAAGGCGCCAGGGGAGUCGUCGCCGCGGCGGAGGAGUCCGCGGCGGGCGCGGGCGAAGGUGGGGAGGCGCUCGAUCGCCGCCCGCCGGAGCGCCUCCUCCUCCUCCUCCUCCACGCCGCUGCAUUCGCGGUACGAGCUCGACCUCGAGAACGCCGGCUCCGUAGGCGCCCACAUAGUAACCCUAACCCUAACCCUAACCCUAACCCUCGUCGCUCGAAGGGGUGGGGGUGGGGGUGGUGGAGAGAGGAGGAGGGGGUCUUAAAAGAGGGAGGAGCAUAGGGUUGGGGUUGGAUCCACCGACUCGGAGCGAGCAUUUAUUGCCUCUCUUCUCUCUCUCUCUCUCUCUCUCUCUCUCUCUCUCUCGCGUUUUCUUACUUGCAGAAACGCGAAAAGGGAGGGGGGAGAGAGGGUAAAAAAAGUUUAGGAAGGAAAAAUGGCGGGGUUUAGAGACUUUAAGACCGUUGGGUGGUUGGGAUUUUAAAGUGAGGUUAUUAAUGGCGCGGAACGUCUUAUUUAGGGGUUUUUUUGCAUUUAGCCCCCUAGUAAAUUUUUAUUUUAAAAAUAGCCCUAUCAAAAUUUAAUUUACAAAAAUAGCCCUGCACCUGCCACGCAGGCGCCACGUCAGCGCCACGCGGGCUGGGCAUGGGCCAGUGUAUUAAGUUAAACACGGUGAAUCAUUCACCGUGUUUAGACACGGUGAAUGAUUCACCGUGUUUAAUACGUAUUUUUUUGUAGAGAAACAGGGAGUUAGGGAUGUUAAUGGGGUAUGGAUAUUCAAAAUAUUAUUCGAACCUAAAUCCGAAUAAAUUAUUUUAUAUACAUAAUUUAUUUUUAUAUAUUUAUACAAUAUAUAAAAUAUCCAAUAAUUUUUAUUUCUUAGAUCUUCAUCCAAUCCAACGGUAUAAAAUAUCUAAUAAUUUUAAAAAUCUAUACCAUUGGAUUGAUGAAGAUCUAAGAAAUAAAAAUUAUUAGAUAUUUUAUAUAUUGUAUAAAUAAAUAAAAAUAAAUUAUGNCAACGGUAUAGAUUUUUAAAACCCGCUGGGUUUAGGUUCGGGUUUCGAGUUUUUGGUUGGAUAUGGAUAUAGGUAUGAAUUUUUAAAAUCCGUUGGGUUUGGAUCCGGAUUUGGAUUUUAAUUUGAUUUUCAGGUUCGGAUUCGGAUUUUUGAAAAAGAGAAGAAAAAGAAUACAAAUUUCCUAUUCCUCUUUUCAAUAUACAAAAAAUACGUACUAAACACGGUGAACCAUUCACCGUGUUUAGACACGGUGAAUGGUUCACCGUGUUUGAACACGGUGAAUGGUUCACCGUGUUUAACUUAAUACACUGGCCCAUGCCCAGCCCGCGUGGCGCUGACGUGGCGCCUGCGUGGCAGGUGCAGGGCCAUUUUUGCAAAUUAAAUUUUGAUAGGGCUAUUUUUAAAAUUAAAAUUUACUAAGGGGCUAAAUGCAAAAAAACCCCAAUUUGAUACCUUGAGGUAUGUAGAAGUUUGGUGGACCUCGUCUAACACGUCAGCUGAAGGUGAGGCAAUUGAAAGUGCAACUUCCUUGGAACGGUGGAUGUAAUUAAAAAAUUUUAUUACAAAAAUUCAACUGAGUUGGAUCCUUUUACACCGUUAAAUAAACAAACCUCUUAUAUUGACCAUUAAAAUUAUAAAUUUUGUAGCUCUUUGAUCAUUAGAUCAAUAAUAUUAAAAAUAUUCAAAAUUUGAUUUCUAAAUUUUUCAAGUGGUAUAGAUCAUGUUCAACGAUAUUGAUUGUCAAUUUGGAGGCUUCAUCAUUGAAAAUAAAUCGAUAACGGGAGUCCGUUUGUUAUUGAUAGUAUUAUAUAUAUAUAUAUAUAUAUAUAGAGUCCAGCUAUGGUGCUUCUAAAAGCACCAAGUACUUGGUGCUUGUAAGUUUUUUACCAUUAGAUUUACUCUACGGAUCAUUUUAUUUAAAAUCAUUAGAUUAUACUAUUUAACCAACCACCCACUCAACCCUAUGGCGCCCGCAUCAUUCUAACUGCAUAUCUCUUAAUCCAAUGACUAAAAAUCUACAAGUACCAAUGUCUUGGUAUUUUUAAAAGCAUAGGAGCUCAAUUCUAUAUAUAUAUAUAUAUAUAUAGAGAGAGAGAGAGAGAGAGAGAGUCCGGCUGGGAUUGUCACGCCCCGGAUUACACGUUUUUCCGGGCACGCCAACAGACCCGCCGUACAUAGAAAUUUUUCUUGUAUACGAAACGAUAGCUAUACCUGUAAACAAAGUCAAGUUACAACCACAAGAUAAAGAGGUACUAAACUGAAAACAUAUCAAUAUAAAACCUCGAGGGGUUCCAGUACAUACAAAAUGUCUACUACAUCACUCACUCCAGCGAGUACCCAGACAACAACCAUAUGUACAUAAAUACUCCAAAACUAUCUGUGGGAGAUACUCCUCUAGCACUGCAACUUAUCUGAAAGGGAUCAAGCUCGCAACUCGCUUUCCACGAUCAGAAUCGGCGACAACAGCAGCCGCAGAAGAAUGCUCUGCAAAAAGGGGUCAACAACUAGGUGUGAGAAUUACUGCAAAAAGUAGUCCUCAGUGGGUACCAUUAUCGACUUCAACGGCUCACCCACUAAGUUUACAGAAAGUAUGCAGGAAGAUAGUAAAGAAAGCUGGUACAAACUCUACAGCUAUAUGCCACUAUACUAUCACUAACCAACACUAGCUAUCUGUAGAUGUAAACAUGAUGCAAUCUCUGACCCAAUCUCACUGGGGACUGUGAACACACCCGUCCCGCCUGUCGAAGCUACACCAACCACCACCACACUGGGUAGUUGAUGAAGAGCAAAUCCAACCUAGGCACUACUACAUCAACACAUAAAGCUCGACUCCGGAGUGGUACUCGUGGGUGCUACCCAACGGAGUAUACAAGCAUGUCUCUACCGAGCUCAAUCAAACUCUCACAGGCUAUAAUCAAAGCAAAUGGGUCUAACUGGUCUAACAACCAAAGCUCACGUGCCCUUGGCACAAUCUGAUGCUAACACAGAAAUUUGGGUCCACCGUCAACCGCGACGGCACCUGACAGUCCGAAACAGUCUACACCUAACUGUAAAAAUAAGCUCAGCAUCCCAGCACGAGCAUAAACUCAUCCUAAACUAAUCUGGAUAUCCACCGCGUACAAACUGCGGCGACACAAACCAACCACAGCUCAUAAAACUAAAUAUAGUAGUUUUUAGAAAAUGACAGUCUAGUAUCUAUAGUUUUCUCCUAGUCAAUUCCAAAUCCAACAUGUAAAACAAAUCUAGCAUUUGUAGCAUUUAAGCUCCAAUUCAGAUUUCAUUAAAAGCAAUGCAAAUCGGCGAAUCGAGCUACUAACAUGAUACUACAUAUGAAAUUUACAUGCUGACAACAUCUACGCUUAAGAGGAAAUCCGACGAUUUCGGUAAACUUCAACCCACCUCGAAACGCUCGUGCAACAACGGUGAGAAGUCAAAAGGAGAGGAAUCUUGCGCUCGCCUGGCCUCCAACGGCGCAACCGCGAUGCCCACACGCUCGAACGGCUCUUCGGCGGAACGUCAACGUCGAUAUGAGCUCAAGCCGUGACCUCAAUCACAAACGAAUCCACCAGCUAGAGAGAGAGCGGAAAAGGAGAAGAAGAACCGGCCACAACCCCCUCUCUGUCAAUAUAUAAGCUGGGAGACAUUGGGUUGAUCGACACUGUUGGAAGGACCAAAAUGCCCCUCACCAACUCAAAAAUCCAGCUGGAGUACCGGUACCUCACUUGAAUAUCGGUACUCGGCCUUCAGCCCGCAGCUUCGCACAUUGGGUACCGGUACUCACCCGAUGUAAUACCGGUACUCGGGCUCGGUACCGGUACUUGUCCGAUGCAGUACUGAUACUCAGCAUCAGAUUGGCACAACUCGAGAGCGGACUGUUCAGGAAAUACACUUGGGUACCGGUACUCCCCUGUAUGGUACCGGUACUCAAUACUAAAAACCUGCACUUUGCAGAUUCCAAUGUCAAUGCACUGCUCUCGCGUUGCACUGAGUCCGUUUUGCGUCCAUUUCGCACCAAAAUGACUCGACUUGUCCCGACACUCUCCAGAUGUGUCGACAAGCCUCAGAUGCUGAAACCCAACAGGCAGUAUCAAAAUACCAGGGAUACUUUACAUGCCACUCGUUCAUAUCAUAAUGCCUCUAAUACACUAGUUUACAUGUCCCUCGUUUUCAUCAUCGAGUUCAAGUUCACCCUUUUCUUAUCACUAUAGGAUUUUAUGUCACAAGACCCAAUCCUCAUGCCCCCCCUAGAUUCAUGUGUCAAGGUCACGAUGCUACACUACUAAGAAAGUAUGCAAGGAAAUAGAAAUGCAACUAUAAUGCAUAAGUAUCAAUAGGUGAAAACAUGAUCAACGAUCAACUCGGACAUAGAAAGAAGUCCAACUGCUUCGGGAUGACACCCCCCACUUUCAAUGCCACGAUGUUCAAGUUCUUUAUCAUACCUCUAUAGAGUCCUGUGUUCACACCCAAUCCUCACACACAUAGCCCUAUGUUCCAUCUCAUAUUUGCACAAACCUCAUGAGAAAAUGCAAGGAAAGGAAUAAGCAACAACCUACUCUACGAUGUAUGAAUACUAUACAUGAACAUAUAUGGCCAACAUCCAUUUAUCAUCUAGUAAAUGCUAUGACAUGUCAAUAUGCAUAUUCCAUUUAUCAUAUUCUUACCAUAUGUCAAUCAUGUAUAAUUCAUCUAAUAUAAUCCACCAUAUGUCAACAUGCAUUUUAUCUAGCAUAUAUUCUCAUCUAGUAGAUUCCAAUGGUAGGCAACAUUGUCAAGCAUAAUAUGAUCCAAGCAUUCAUAUUAUCAUACAAGCCUACCAAUACACAUAUAUGCAUCAAUAAGUAAUAAAACCGCAUUCCACUUAGACAUGGAAGCAAGCUAGUAUCUUCGGUGAGCACAACCCACCUCGCAACACUUUCUGAUUGCUUGUCGACACUUGUAAUCGGGCUCCCGCGGCACACGAUACCCGGUUCGGCUCGAAUCCGCAAUCGGCGCGUCAAUCCGCAACCUAGAGUUGUUUGGGACCCUUCUCUAACCUUCAAUUAGAGAACAAUAGGGUUUAAUUAGAUCAAAACCCUCUAAUCUCUANAGAGAGAGAGAGAGAGAGAGAGAGAGAGAGAGAGAGAGAGAGAGUAGAGCUACCAUAUUUUUGAAAGCAUAAGAGAGUCCGUGCUUUCAGCUUUUUGGCCCUUAGACCAAUCUUUUUGACUAUUUUUGAUAUUUGGAUUAAUAUUAUUACCCUAGAGGGACUACUCAACCCUAAGGGGGACCACCAUUAUAAUCCUUGAUCCAAAAGUUAAAAAGUAAGAAGCACCAAUUUUCUUAUUCUUUCGAUAGCAUAGUAGCUCUACACUAUAUAUAUAGAGAGAGAGAGUUCGUAUAAUGUACCAGAUUUUAAUAUAAAUUAAGUGUAAAUAAAAAUAGUGUAGGAUACUAUUUUUAUUGGACUUAAAGAAGUAAAGUAUAAGUCGGAAAUGACUCGUGUUGAAAUCGGAAUGAAAACAGGAGAUUUAGAAUUUUCUGUGAGAAACGGGACUGAUAUUUUAAGCAGAAAAUUCACAUUCUCAGAAAAUUAUAAAAAUCUAAAAAUAUGUCAGGAUUAUUUUUAUGAGGCUAGAUUUAAAGUUUCAUGUCAUUCUCCCGGAAAGUAAAAAAAUAAAAUCUGACUGCUAUUUGCUAGAGAUUACAGUUCGGUAGAACUUUCGGUAACAAAAAAUGGUUGAAACUGAAAAGUUAUGAUAUUUUCUUGUUUAUUAAAUAAAACCGAGCCUGACUGUCAAAUUUGAGAGAAAACAGACAUUCAGAGGGGCUCCGGCGAAAAGGAACAGAUUCUGAGCUACUAAACUGCUGGUGGAAAUAGUCUUUUGAGGGUGUUUAUUAUAAAAGGAGUUGUCUUCUUCUUCUUCUCCUUCAACCGAGCAACACACACACACACCAGCACACACGCAUGGAGAGGGAGAGAGAAACCCUCCCUUUUUCUCUCUAAAUAUCUCUCUCAUCUCUCUAGAUGUCUCUCUCAAAUUCGCGGCGUUGGCGGAGAGCAAGCUUGUGAACGCGUUGGAAGCGACGGAUCGAGUCUUCGUGCGCCCGGUUGAGCGGCGUGCUUUCGACUCGGCAUUCGCAAUUUCGGUAAGUAUUUAGGAUUUGGUUUAAUCCUUAAUGCUUAGUGUUCUAGUAGUCUCCAAAGUGUUUCUAGCAUGUCGCUCUAUUUAAUUUUAGAAUAUUUGGAGGUUAAUUUCAUGCUAGGGCUUAAAAUGAGGGUUUGGAAAUUAGAGGGUUUUGAUCUAAUUAAACCCUAUUGUUCUCUAAUUGAAGGUUAGAGAUAAACCGUUGGAGACUCUAGGUUGAGGAUCGGAGAGUGUUCGGUUGCCGAUUGCGAGUUUGGGUCGAACCGGGCCACGCGUGCCGCGGGAGGCCGAUUGCAAGUGACUACAAGCAAUCGGAUAGCGUUGCGAGGUGGGUUAUGCUCACCGAAGAUAUUAGCUCACUUCCAUGUCGAAGUGGAGCGUUGUUUAUCAUUGAUGCAUACAAUGGUAGUUAGUUGCAAAACAUGUAGUCGCAUGAGAUGAAUGCUAUGAUUGACUACCAUAGAUGAUAAUAAUGAUGUAUGGUUACUAUUGAUGCAUGUAUGCAUAUUUGGUAGGUUGUACAUGAUAAUGUAAAUGUAGGAAUUAUAUUAUGCUUGAUGUUGUUACCUACUAUGAGAUGCUGGAUGAAUGUAUGACAUAGAGGCUAUACGAAUGCAUGAGAUAGAAUAUGCAUGUUGACAUAUUGUGGAUUAUGUUAGAUGAAUAUGCAUGAUGAUAUGUUAUAGCAUAUGCUAGAUUCAUGUAGAUGUGAACUUGGAUCAAUAACUCUUAGUGGAUUAGAGAAUUCGACAUUGGAAAACAAGAACAUGAAAACUAUAAUACUCGAUGUGGACAAGUAGAAUGUCAAGUAGAUCGAGUGGCAUUUGGACUAGUGUAGUAGAGACACUAUGACGUGAACAGAGGGAUAGAUGAUUUCCCGAGUUGUGUAUAUGUGCCACGUGAAACUAGUGUAGUAGAGACACUUGUGACAUUACUAUUGGGAUUAGUGGAUUUCCCAUGUUGUUGUUAACCCUAGUAGACAGGGUAUCCUCGAGUGAGAGGAUUGGAUCAUACUCACAUAGUCUGUUUAACCUUGGCGUGGUCGCCCCACCCAAGUAGCGAGCUCCGGAGUCGUCGUCGCGUUUGGGUAACAUGAUUACCCAGCAAACGGUCUCGGGUGUGUGUAAUGCAGAGUCUCCUCACCGCGAGAUUUGAGAUGUGAGUCGGCCUUAACCUUUUGGUUAGCGAGUGAGAUUGGGUGACAUUCUUGUGAGCUAUGGAUGAAUCCCAGCAGAGUGGAUUGACAUCCUAGUUGAUAUCCCAAUUGAGUGGAUUCAAGGCUGAGGUGCAUGUGAGACGUCCUUCACCUCGAGCCUGGUUUUACGCGGUACUCUGCGGAUGAUUGACUCAAGACCGAAUCGAGUGGAUAGCUUUGUAAAAGUAGAUGAAACCUUGUUAGCAAAAUUGUAAUUGACAUGAAUCUAAGAUAGAGAAAAACUUAGAUGUCAUUUGGAUGAGCUAUGGAUAGCGAGACAAAAAGUAGAAGCAGUUGAUCUACUGACAUUAUUGCAUAUUGAGUUGGAUGAUUGCAUUGUUGCAUGUUGCGAGGCAUGAACAUUAUAAAUGUUAGUUGCAUAAAAUAUUUGAUGAAAUAUAUAUACCUGCGGAUACUUGUUGGACUAACAUGUUGCAGUGCCUCCUUCGGAUCUGGUGAAUUGAGCUUUUCCCUUGGGUGGCCAUACCCACUGGGAACUAUGGACAAUAGUUCUCACCCCCGUAUUGAUUUUGGGGUACAGGUUCACACGUGAGCGGCGCGGCGACGCGAGGAAAAGGCGUAGCUUCGUAGAUAGCGCCUUACCAUAGAGACCAGAGAUAGCAUUACACUGAGUCGGCCUAGCUAGGGGUUGUAGAAAAGCAUUAUUGUUGUAACCUUAAUUGUAUUUGGAAGAAAAGAAAAUGAAAAUCUAAUAUGUAAAAAGCAUGUGAUGUGAAUACUUGUAAUAGUUUAGUUGUUUUAUGUUUUCGAUACUUCCUUAUGCAAUCUGUGAUUGAAUACUGUUCCCAGUUGGAAUAUUAAUGGCGACGCCUAGGACGUACAGGCGAAACUCUGUCCGUUCGGCGGUCUGUCGGCGUGCCCGAAUCCGACUAAAUAGGCGGGUCUUGAGGCGUGACAGUUCGAAUCGAGUGCUUCUAUUAGUACCAAGCACUUGAUGCUAAGUUUUCCUUCGUUAAUCAUUUCCAUUCAUUAGACCAUAAUAUUCAACCAGCCACCCACUCAAUUCUACGUGAUCACUAUCAUCCUAACUACACAUUCUUUUAUUUAAGGACUGAAAACCUAAUAGCACCAAUGACUUGAUACUAUUUGAAAUACUUCAGCCUCUCUCUCUUUCUCUCUCUCUCUCUCAAUAUAUAUAUAUAUAUAUAUUUUAUCAUCUCAUGUAUGAAGUGAUGAAAUUUAAAAAUACAAUUCGCAAUUGCAUACAACCAAAAUUAUUGCCAUAACGCAAUUUAGUGCAUUCAGCCAAACAAGAUUUAUGCAAUUAUGAUUGCUGCAUUCCUAACUAUAUUGUAUAGUAGUUGCAACUUUAUGCAUUUUAUUUGAUUGAAUACAAUAAAAAAUAUGUAGCUAUAAACAGUCUAAUUUGUUUUUUUUUUUCUUUUGUUUAUAAUUUUUUAAAAUACUAAUUGUAUAUAAUUUUAUAUACAAGAAGAAGAUUUUUUUUUUCUUUUUUCUUAUUAUGAUGAUCAGUUAGUUUGCAUACACUUCAACCUGAUAAUGGAGGACAAGUUUUCUUGGAAAGAUUAUAGGAGUGUAUGAUAUACACUUACCUUUUUUUUGAAUGAGAUUAUUUACUUAUCACAUGAUGUGACUAGUAAAAUAAUUUCAUUAAAUAGACAAGUGAGAUAUGUGAUAUAUGUUGGAAAAAUCAUUCUGAUCUUUUAUUACAAUAUUCUAAAAACAAUUCGAAAGUUUAAUUUCAGGUUUGGAAAAAUUCCGAGAAAGAAAAUAAAUAACAAAUACUGUAAAGAAAAGGUUUAGAAAAGGCCUGUGGAUCGAGGCGUGCAGAGCACUAUCCUAGAAUGCACCUCUACGUGCGAGGCUUCCCGGCAAUUACUUCCAGCAAUACAACGAUCACGUUCCACCCCGUCGGCACGCUUUCAAGGUGGCGCAAGACGAACCCAACAAGCUUCAGAUCCAGCUAAGAAAGCUCGGUGAAAAUAGACGAGGUAGGGUUUAGGUAUGCUAGGGUUCUUCGUUGAACACACGUAACCUUCCAAAAUAUAUAUAAUCAAGGCGGGAAUCUUAUUUCAACAGGUCAAAUCUAUGUAGAACAAGAUAAGCCUAAGAUUAUACAAAUAAGGAUUAGGAUUAGUGUCACGCCCCGGAUUACUCUUUCCCCGGGCACGCCGACAAAUCCGCCAUAUACAAAGAAAAUUUUUCUGUAUACGAAGCGAUAGCUGUACUUGUAGAUCAUACAACACUACAACCAGUAGUAUAGAGCUGCUAAAUGACAAGUAUAUAAAGAUAAUGGAUCAGUACAUAUGCAGUAUCCUGGUACAAAAGUACUCGCUCCAGCGAGGUAUAACAACAGUAUGUAAUGAACCAAAAACUACAACUAUCUAUAGCUGGAACUCCGCUAGCUUUGGCUUGUCUGGUAGGGCUCUAACUCACGACGCCCUUGCCAUGAUCAGAAUCAACAGCAGCAGCAGCAGCAGUCGAAGACGAUGGCUCUGCAAAACGAAAGGCAACAACUGGGCGUGAGAACUACUGUAAAAACAAGUAGUCCUCAGUGGGUACCGCCCUCAAAAUCAUCGGUUCACCCACCAAGUCUACAGAAGUAAGCAGAGAUAGUAAGAAAAGCUAAAAUAAAUCUACAGCUAAAAGUCAGUAUACUAUCAUGCUCUAACACUAACCAUCUGUAGAAAAAUAAAUCCUGACCCUAUCUCACUAGGAACUGUAAGCAUACCCGUCCGAGGGACUGCGAACACACCCGUCCCGCCUGUCGAAACGAACCAGUAAACUACUCUAUGAGUAGCCGGUGGAGAAAACUCUCUAGGGAAUGAAUACACCCGUCCCGUCUAACUAGGUGACACCUUAGCUCAAGAGUAGUCGAUGGAGAAAACUCUCUGGAGACUGUGAAUACACCCGUCUUGCUUAACUAGGCUAUACCGUGGCUCAAGAGCAAUUGGUGGAGAAAACUCUCUUGAGACUGUGAAUGCACCCGUCUCGCCUAACUAGACUACACUGUAGCUCCAGGGUAGCCGGUUCAAGUAAAAAGUCCGACAGGACGACUGUGACUCCACUCACGUCACAACCUUAUCGGAGGUAGGGAAAAGCGUCACUACGAUCUCACCCAGGCUGCCCAAACGGACCCACUCUGCCUGUAUCUAGCUACACCGUACACCACCCCAAGGGUGGCUGGCUCAAGAAUUAUCCCAACAGAAACUGUGACCUCAUCACAAUGAAACCUCAUUCUGGAAUGGCAUUCGUGGACGCGACCCAAACGAGUUUACAAGUGUCUCUGCCAAGUUCAUUCAGGCUCUCACAGGCUAUAAUCAAAUAGACAGGUUCUCACUGGUCUAACAACCAUAAUCCACGUGCCCUUGGCACAAUCUGAUGCACAAACCGCAAACUAGGUCCACCGUCAACCCCGACGGCACCCGACAGUCCGGAACAGCCUAACUACUGCUGUAAAAAUAAGCUCGGCAUCCCAGCAUGAGCGUAACUGUAACCUAAACUGCCUGAAGUAUCCACCACGCUCAACCUGUGGUGAUACAACCAAACUACGGCUCCUAGAGCUAAAUCUGGUAGUUUAAGCAUAUGACAGAUUUAAAUCGCUGGUUUUCUCCUAAGUCAAAUCCAAAUCCAAUAUGUACAAAUAUAUACAGUCACAAUACUAGGCUCCAAUUCAAAUUUCUAAAUAUGCCAAAGCAAUGAAUUGAGCAACUACAAUAUGUGAAACAACGCAACGGAUAUAUGUCGACUAUAUACACACUUAGAAGGUAAACCGAUUAACCCACCUCAAAAGCUACUCCAAACUACGGCAAGAAGUCGAAAGAAGCGAAAACACGCGCUCGCUCGGCCUCCCGAUGGCGCUACCACGCCGAACGCACGCUCGAACGGCUACCCUGCGCGACGUCGGCGUCGAUCCGAACUCCACCCGAAGCCUUCUCCACGUACGGCUCAAGAACUAGAGAGAGAGAAAAUUAAAGAAAUGGACACCCUAAGUUAAUUAAGUUGAUAAGCAUGCAUGAGGGGGUAGGUGCACGUGGCAUCCUUAUCCACAACCCACAAGACAAUCCUAGUCUUUACCAAAAAAAAAAAAAAAAAAAAAGGAUACUACAAUUAGGAUUAGGAUAAAGAUAAAACCGAAAAAACAAAAAUAAAAUAAAAUAAAACGGGUAUAUGGACCGCGCGCGCCGCUGCCCGCCGGCCCGGCUCGUGCUCGUGCCGUGCGUGCGUGCGUGUGUUUAAAUGAGAGCAUAACUCUCAUUUUCUUCUAAGCAACUAGCUUGAGAAUAAAUGAAUAUAUAUACCAACAACACCCUUUUAGUUUCCAAUGUGAGACUAAAUCUCACACAUGAAAACUUUAGUUGGGCUCUCAAGCAAGGCCCACUAAUUAUUGGGCUGCCCAAGAGGCCUAACAAAUUUUAAAUCACAAAAAAAUCCAAUAAAAUCUAAUAAUAUACAUCUCUUUGGGGUGUAUGGAUACAUUGCUUAUAAUAUUAGAGAUGCCAAUGGAGCGGAUCCAAGUGCGAGAGGAGUCUCCUACUUUUUUUUUGUGCAAAUGGGGUGAAUUAAGUACUGAUUAAUUUAUCAUAUUUUUUACCCUACUUAUCGCUCCAUUCUUUGUGGAUCAGGAUUGGGAUGGAUAUUCGGGGUAUCAUGAGUUAUGUGUUGUAACAUUUUAUUAUUAAUUAUGAAAUUUUAAUUUAUUAACAUAGUUCAAGUGAAGGUACAACUUCACUUAAUUUGCAUUUAUGUUAGUAAAGUUACAACUUCACUUAUUUUGCAUUUAUGUUAGUAAAGUUACAUCUGUUUUAAUUUGAUAACCUAUACACGUAUAUUUCUAUAACUCUUAAACACUUAAUUUUUGUAAUUAAUACCUUGUAACCCAUACUAUUUUGAAGCCUAUAAAUAGAGGGCUUCUCUAUUCACUUACACACAACUCAAAAAAGAAGAACGAAAAGAAAAAUAAAAGCCUACUUCUAUUAUACUUGUGAGAGAGAGAAAGUCAAAGAAAGGUGUUUCUUUUGGUGGAGCUUUGGCCUUAUAACUUGUGUAGAGUUGGUGAAGCCACACGACGAGGGUUGAGCCGUUGUAUUCUGGAGGGGACAAGGCAGUAUUCUGCUGCAUCGGUUAAAAGGCUUUACCAAUCGCAGAGGGCUUGAAUCUUCUUAAAGAGAGCGAGAUUUUCGUGCCUCGGCUUGAACGACUUGUUGACACUUUUUAUAUUAUUUUGUAGCUAGCCUCUAUUUUUGGAAUAUAUACACUAAUAAUUUUAAGGAGAUUCAAGAAUGAAGGCUACACUGAAAAGUUCAACAGUGCAACAAAAAAUCUCAACGAGCAAAAAGAGACGUCUCUCGAGACAUUAAUCGCACGCAUUCGCGUGGAAGAGGAGCACGCAUUCGCGUGGAAGAGGAGGUAAGAGGCUAAGAUGCACGUGAAGCAAAAGAGAAUGAUGUUAGCGCCACUAAGGUAAACUUAGUAUCUUCUAAUUUUUUACCUAAUCACAAUCGUUCUAGAAAUACAUACUUGAAGCUUAAAAAGAAAAUUGGAAAAAAUAGUGGUAGACCUCAAUUUAAGCAAAAUGACCAAGGACCUCCUUCUUAUGUGAAAAAUAUAGUUUGUCAUGUCUGUGGCAAAAGUGGGAAUAUUGCUCGAAUUUACAAAUUCCAAAAACAUAAAGCUUUACCUCAAGCUAAUAUUACCGAGGAGACACUUGUGGCGAUGAUAGCAGACAUAUGCUUAGUUGAAAGUGCUGAAGGAUGGUGGGCAGACUCUGGUGCCAAUAGGCAUGUCUGUUAUGAUAAAGGUUGGUUUAAAACAUACACUCCCUAUGAACAACCAAGAAGUAUUAUGCUUGGUGAUUCACAUACCUCUGAAGUUUUAGGGGGUGGUAAGGUCGAGUUAAAAUUUUCUUCUGGGAAGGUGCUUAUCUUGAAAGAUGUGUUGUAUAUACCUUCGAUUAGGAAGAACUUGAUAUCAAGUUUUCUUCUUAAUAAAGCUGGCUUCAAACAGACCAUCGAGUCUGAUUAGUAUGUGAUUUUCAAGAAUGGAAAGUUUGUAGGUAAAGGUUAUGCAUGCGAUGGAAUGUUUAAACUAAACAUUGAGAAUAAAGCAUCAUCUACUUCUGCUUACAUACUUUCUUCUGUGAAUUUUUGGCAUGCUCGUUUGUGUCAUUUUAACAGCAAAUAUGUUAGCUUGAUGAGUAGUUUAGGAUUAAUUCCCAGACUGAAUAGUGAUUUUGACAAAUGUGAAACAUGUAGUAAGUCAAAAAUCACUAAACGACCUCACAAGAGUAUUGAAAAAAGUACCGAACUACUUGAGUUAAUUCACAGUGAUAUUUGUGAAUUUGAAGGUAAUCUAACUCGUGGAGGAAAUAGAUAUUUUAUCACUUUUAUCGAUGAUUUUUCUAAAUAUACUUAUAUCUAUUUAUUAAAAACUAAAAGUGAUGUUUUUGACAAAUUUAAAGAAUUUCUCCAUGAAGUAGAAAAUCAAUUCAGUAAAGAGAUAAAGAGAAUUAGAAGUGAUCGAGGUCGUGAGUAUGAAUCUACGGGAUUCAACUAUUUUGUUUAGUCUUUAGGAAUUAUCCAUGAGACUACUGCUCCAUAUUCGCCUGCCUCUAAUGGUGUGGCUGAGAGAAAAAAUAAAACACUUAUUGAGCUAACAAAUGGUAUGAUAGUUGAUACUGGGGGUACGUACCCCUAAAUUUUUGGGGUAAAGCCAUUUUAACUGCAUGUUAUGUUUUGAAUCGCAUGCUACAUAAGAAGUCUAAGAUGACACCCUUUGAAUUGUGGAAAGGGUAUAAGCUAAAUUUGGAAUAUCUUAAAAUGUGGGCUUGUCUAACAUAUGUGAGGCUACCGGACCUUAAAAGACCCAAAUUGGCUGUUAGAGCUGUCAUUUGUAUAUUUCUUGGAUAUGCGUUGAAUAGUACAACUAUAAAUUUUUAGACAUUAAAAAUAAUGUAAUUUUUGAAUCAAAAGAUGCUAUUUUUCAUGAAGAAAAGUUUUCUUAUAAAUUAAAAAAUAGUGGGGGUCAAGAUUUUAAAAGUGUUUCAAAUAAACUGAGUUCUUCAAACUCCUAUUUGCAAAAUCAAGAAGAAAAUAUUUUUGAACCAAGAAAAAGCAAGUGAAACAGAAUUGAAAAAGAUUUUGGCCCUGAUUAUGUUUUUAUGAAUAUUGAAGAAAAUCCACAAGAAGCUUUAUCUUCAAAUGAUGCAAUUUUUUGGAAAGAGGCUGUAUCUGAUGAGAUAGAAUCCCUAAUUUCUAAUAAAAUAUAGAAAUUAGUAGAUUUACUUCCAGGCUGUACAACAAUUGGUUGUAAAUAGGUUCUCAGAAAGAAGUUGAAACCGAAUGGAAGUGUAGACCAGUAUAAAGCUAGACUUGUCGCAAAAUGUUAUAAACAAAAAAAAGAUCUAAAUUUCUUUGAUACAUUUUCUCCGGUGACGAGAGUGACAUCCAUCAGAGUUCUGAUUGCUAUUGCUGCAAUUCAUGACUUACAAAUUCAUCAGAUGGAUGUAAAAUUUGCCUUUUUGAAUGAGGACCUAGAUGACGAAAUUUAUAUGGACCAAUCUGAGGGGUUCAUUGAGCCUGGGCAAGAAAAUAAAGUGUGCAAGCUAAAUAAAUCCUUUUAUGGCUUAAGGCAGGCACCUAGACAGUGGCAUGAAAAUUUUGAUUUUUGUAUGAUUGAGAAUGACUUUAAAUUAAACGAGUGUAAUAAGUGCAUCUAUUACAAAAUUUUUAAAAAGUUGCAUGUUAUUGUUAGCCUUUAUGUGGAUGAUUUACUAAUUUUUGGCUCUAACUUAAAUGUUAUCAAUGAGACAAAAAUUAUGCUAAAUCAUUAUUUUAAAAUGAAGGAUCUUGGUGAGACUAACUUUAUUUUGGGUAUGAAAUUUACGAAAACAUCAGAUGGGAUCUUUCUUGAGAAAAUUUUAAGAAAGCACAACUUUCUUAAUUGCAAGAACAUGACUACACAUUUUGAUUCGAGCGUUUACUUAUUUUUUGUUAAAAGUGAAAGUGAAAUUUUGAAUCAAAAGGAAUAUACUAGUAUGAUUGGGAGCUUGCGGUUUGGAACUGAUUGUACGAGACCUGAUAUUGCAUAUGCAGUAGGGAUAUUCAGUAGAUUUAAAAGCAAGCCGGGCACAGAGCAUUGGCAUGCCAUAGAACAGUGAUGAGAUAUCUCGUUAGUACGAAAACUUAUGGCUUGUUUUGUGGGAAGUAUCCUGCUGUGAUUGAGGGAUACAGUGAUGCUGACUGGAAUGCCCUAUCAGGUGAUUCUUUUUCUACCGCUGGUUAUAUUUUUACUUUAGCAUGUGGUGCUAUAUGUUGAAAAUCUAAAAAGCAAACUAUUAUUGCUAACUCAACUAUGGAAGCCAAGCUUAUUGCCUUAACUUCAGCUAGCGAGGAAGCUAGUUGGUUGAGAGACUUAUUGUCUGAGAUUCUAUUUGUGGAAAAAUUAGUUACAUCUGUGUUAAUACACUGUGGUAGCACUGCUGCUAUUGGUAGAGUAAGAAACCGUUAUUAUAACAGUAAAUCCAGAUCCGUGAGAAGAAAACACAGUAUUGUGAGUCAUAUAUGAACAAUAAUAUUAUCAGUGUAGAUUAUAUUAAAUCUAUUGAUAAUCUGGCAGAUCUAUUAACCAAGGCCUUAGGAAGAGAAAGGAUCUGGAGCACAUCGAGGGGAAUAGGGUUGAAGCCCAUAACAUCAUGAACCACAUAUGAGGAUAUCCAACCUGAUGAUCAGAGAUCCUGAAAAUUGGGUUUCAUGGGAAAAACGAAUUAUAUGGUGGUCGUAAAGAAUGCACAAUAUAUAGAUUUAUCUAAUCGCAUCUUUACCUAUCCCUAUGGUGUAGGUGCAUUCAUCCUGUAAUGAAAAGAGGGUUGAACUUUUGCUCUUAAUGAAAUUUGUGGCUUUUAUGAGCAGGGGGUUAAUUAGAACUAUAGGAGCACCCUUGACGGAUUUCAUAUAUGUGAGAAUAGAAGUGAGAUCGUUUCCUAUGAGAACGGGCUUAUUCUCAAAUAUGCUAAUGAAAAUCAGGAUCGGCACAAGGCCGUAACGUGCUAGCUAAUAAAGCUCAUAUCAACACCUGGAUUGUUAUAUGUGAGAAGUGACUCUCUAUUUUUCCUAAACAGGCAAAGUUCAAGUCUGAAACCACUCUGGCUCUGGAGUAAAGAUUACUGUUUCACUAAGUGAAGACUCAAUGCAGAGCACACAUUCAUUAUAUAUAAUGAUCUCUCUUUGGCCAUCAAACUCUCAUAUAUUUUUAAUAAUAAAAUGAGUGGAGAAAUGUUGUAACAUUUUAUUAUUAAUUAUGAAAUUUUAAUUUAUUAAUAUAGUGCAAGUGAAGUUACAACUUCAUUUAAUUUGCAUUUAUGUUAGUGAAGUUACAUCUGUUUUAAUUUGAUAACCUAUACACGUAUAUUUCUAUAACCCUUAAACACUUAAUUUUUGUAAUUAAUACCUUGUAACCCGUACUAUUUUUAAGCCUAUAAAUAGAGGGCUUCUCUAUUCACUUAUACAUAACUCAAAAAAAAAGAACGAAAAGAAAAAUAAAAACCUACUUCUAUUAUACUUGUGAGAGCUAUUAUACUUGUGAGAGAGAGAAGGUCAAAGAAAUGUGUUUUUUUUUGUGGAGCUUUGGGCUCACCUAUUUGUGCAGGGUUGGUGAAACCACAUGACGAAGGUCGAGCCGUUGUAUCCUGGAGAGGACAAGCUAGUGUUUUGCUGUAUUGGUUAAAAGGCUUUGCCAACCGCAGAGGGCUUGAAUCUUCUUAAAGAGAGCGAGAUUUCCGUGCCUCGGCUUGAACGACUUGUUGACACUUUUUAUAUUAUUUUGUAGUUAACCUCUAUUUUUUUAAUAUAUACACCAACAUUAUGACAAAUCAAGAGAAUGAAUGUUCCUCGUCUCUCACUCCAUUUUUUUUAAGUAGAUUAGAAUAGAUUUAGGAUGACUUAUUUUUUUUCUUUACUUUUGAUUUCCUUAAAUCUUAAUGCUGUAUUCGAUAUGGAUCGGAGCGGGAGUUUCACCGACCCGGUUCCAUUUGCAUCCCUUAUUAUUAAUAGGUUAAUUGCAAACAUCUCCCUAUAAAUAUAGCAGAUUGCAAAUAUUUUUCUACAAAGUUUAACUUUCUUACGUUAUUUCUACAAAUAUCAUAAUAUUUUCAAACACAUGCGGUUAAGAUCUGUUAGAAAAGUUUAGUUAAUCAUAGAUAAAAUAUUUAACAAUUGUUAGUUAAUGGGGUAAAUUGACAUUUUUACCUCUCUUAAUUAUAUUAUACUUUCCUUUCUCAAUCAAAACUCUAGUAACAGGAACUCUUCUUUUUCUUCGUUUUCUUCUUUUUCAUUAAUACUAGGAACUCGUAACUAGAAUUUCUCCGUUGCCAUUCAUUCACAACGCGUCUUUCUUCGUCCAUGUGGAACGCGUGUUGCCUUUUCAUUCAAUUUUUUUCUAUAAUUUUUUUCUUAUUUUGUUCAAAAGAAAAAGUUUAGGAGAAAAAGAGUGAGAGAAGAGGUUGCAACAAUCGUGAAUUGAGUUGGAUUUUAAAAAGAAAGAAGAUGAGGAAAAAUAUGACCAUUGAAAAUUUUUUUGGGGAUCAUUUCUGCACGAUUAUAGUAGAUAGGGUUUUUGGAGAAACAUAUUUGUAUUGGCAGAAUUAACAUUUCACUUAGCUGCCGUUAAAAAAUAAACAGUUCUCUAACAUUAAUAAAUAAAAAAGACAAAUAUGAAUAUCACUGAAAUUUUAUAAAAAUAAAAUAAAUAUAUUAAACUUUACAAAAAUAUGUUAUUCGUUAUAUUUACAUAUAAAGUUAUAUGCAAUUAACCCUAUUGGUCGUACUAGGUGUGGUCUAUGAAUGAUGUGGUAGACCUGGUCCACUUAAUAAUUUCAUUUCACGACGGCGUUUCCCAUUGUCACCCCCGAGAUGACCGGCUCCGAGCAUCUGCAACCGCUGAUAACCGGUCACCCGAACCUUGUCGGCCUCGGUUCCGCUCCAGUGCCCUCAAAAAUCUAUAUAAGCCUACCUCCCGUCCCCCUUCGUCCGAGGAAAGAGGGAAAAAAAAAAAAAAAAAAAAAACAAAGAGUUACAUGGACUCUACACGUGUCUUAAUUUUGUGUGUGUGUUCGAGGGAACACAACUUUGAACAAUGGAAACCUAGCUAGGUCCANGGAAAAAAAAAAAAAAAAAAAAAAUCAAGAGUUCGAAUCGGGGUCGAUCGAUCGAGAGUCGGCUCCUUCGUCUCCACUCAGAAAUUUACCCCCUUUUGCACCUCUUUUACUCUCCAAUUUCAGCUCGAAAUCGCGAGGUAAUGUCUCCGCCGCUUCAAUUUCCCUUUUUAUAUAGUAAUUUUUCGGGUUUUCUUCUUCGAUUUCGUCUUUGAUCGACCCGAUUGGAGGAAAAGAUUAAUUUAUAGUGAUGAUUUAUGCGGCGAUGGGGUUUUCUUUGCUAUCUCUUGCGAUUAUUGUGAUUUGGGGAUCUUUCUGAUCCGGGCGACUCAGAUUUUUUAUGACCUGUUGUUGUGGGGAUCUUUGAUCGUGCAAAAAAUUAGGGUUUUCUUCCGCGGAGAGCUGAAAAUUAGCGAUCUUUGAGAGGUGUUUAGGGUUUUUGAUCUGGUUCUCUUCUUCAGCAUCUUGCAUUUCCUGGUAAUCGUUGUGGUGAUCGAUUUUAGUUGGCUUCAGUGCGAUCGGGAGCUAAAAAAAGAUUUUUUUUUUUUUUUUCUUUUCUCUUCUAGGGAUCUCAAAAUUAGGGUUUUUUUUUUUUUUUUUUUUUUCCCCAACAUCUUCUUCUUUUUGGCGGCGAUCUUUUCUUAGGUAGGGCUGGCGCUGGAUAGCCGUGCGCAGUCUAGCCGCCAGUCCGGCGCUGCUCCGUCAGCCGCCGCUUCCAAACCCUCCUCCGCCGCCGGCGUCUUCUUCCCAGCCGAUGGCUGGAGCCCGGCCCCACCUGUGAGCUCCAUGUCAGGAGGCAGCGGAGGCCCCUCCGGUCCCGGGGACAUGAACCGGGGCGGCGGGGUCCUCAACAGCACGGCCAACUCCUCUGGGCCCAGCAUCGGCGCCAGCUCCUUGGUCACGGACGCCAACUCCGCACUUUCCGGCGGCGUGGGGGGCCCCCACCUGCAACGGAGCGCCAGCAUCAACACGGACCCCUACAUGCGCCUCCCGGCCUCCCCCAUGUCCUUCUCCUCCAACAACAUAUCGGGCUCCUCGGUCAUGGAUGGCUCCUCCAUCGUGCAGCAGAGCCCUCACCACGAGCAGCUACAGAACCAAGGAGCGUCCAGUGUUACGUCUAACCCUAAAGACAUGCAUGCUCACAAGAAGCAGAGGGUGAUGGAAGUGAAGCAGGAGGAUAUUCUGCAGCAGCAGGUGAUGCAGAAGCUGCUUCAGAGGCAGCAGGACCCGCUGCAGAUGCAGGGUAUUCAGAACCCUCAGCUGCAUUCUAUGAUCUCGCAGCAUAGACUAGCUCAAAGGCAGCUGCAGCAGCCGCAGAUGUUUCCGCAGAUGCAGUGCUCGCCGAUUGCCCAACAACAGAUGAGGCAGCAACUGCUGCCUCACAUCAUGCAGUCGGUCAGCCCUGUAAAACGCCCGGUUAACGGUGGGAUCUGCGCUCGCCGGAUCAUGCAGUACUUGUAUCACCAGCGGCAUCGGCCACAGGUGAGCAUGUAAUUGGAACGGAAGAAACCUUAUCUCUACGAUCUUUUGGCAUGAGCAAGUUGUGACCCUUUCUUAUAUUGCAGGACAAUAAAAUGUCUUACUGGAGAAAGUUUGUUGAAGAGUAUUUUGCUCCACGAGGAAGAAAAAGGUGGUGCUUGUCUUUGUACGAUAAUAUGGGCAACCAAGCCCUGGGUGCCUUCCCACAAACAUCUGUUGUGAGCUUUCUGCAUCUUAACCAUUUUGCUCUAAUUCUAUGAAUAAAAUUUCCUUAUCAAUUUCCCAAUAUUGCAUAGCAGAAACUUAAUUGUAAGCCUCAUAUUCCAUUUUUUUCCAAUCCAUAUCUGUUAAUCUUGGAUAAAGAUUUUCAUGUUUCUUGAGUUUAGCAUCACUGAUUGGUCUCUUAAUUUUGUUCUUUUCCACGUAUUAUUCUUUAUAAUUUAUCUAUUCCUUGUAAUUUUGAAAUAUAAUUUUGCUAUUCCAUAACUCUCUUUUAAAUUUACUUUUCCAUCUGUAAAUUGGUGUGAAGUACCUUUCUGCUACUUUUUUGAUAUGACUAGCCAUCCUUGCAUCAUUGGGUUCAUUUCUUAUUUUCAGUUUCGUUUGUGAACCUCCAUUACUUCUUUACAUUCUUUUGUAGUUUUGCCUUUGAAAUUUCACCAUCUUAUUAUCAGGAAUCUCCACUUUUUAUUAUGUGACUUUUUCAUUCCCUCCACAUUUUAGACACAUGAAUGCUAGCUUUAUAUCUUCUGUUAGCUCUUUAAUUUUUUAUUAAUUUUGUUUAAACAUGUUAUACCUUUUUACAAAGCCUAUUCACUAUGCUAUUGGCCAUUUUUAGAACUAAUGAAAAUUUCACGCAUUUUUCUCCAAGCAAGUGUUUGAAAUCUGAAGCUGUAUUCUAAAAUUCACUCUUUUUUCUAAGCGCAUGUACCAAGCUUGAAAGAACUUCUGUUUCUGUUGUCACCACAAUAAUGGCAUUAUUUUGUUUCCUUGUUUAUUAUUAUAUAUAGCAGUAACUUUUGUGCACAAAAGCAGAUUACUAUCGGAAAAGUAAAUUUAAAUUGUGCUUCAUCUUUUCUUGUGGUUAUUAAAUACAUCUAUUUUACUUUCUACAGGAUGCUUGGCAUUGUGGCAUUUGUGGUUCUAGAUCAGGAAAAGGAUUUGGUUAGUUGAUUCGUUGCUUUUACUUAAUUUUAUUUAUAUAUAUAGAGGAUCUGGUUAAUUGAUUCAUUACUAGUACUUUCUGACGGCUAAAACAUUAUAUUUUGUUAUGCAGAUAUAUUUAAUUGUGUUGUAACUUUGUUAUGCAUGUAUAAUGUUAUAGAUACAGUUGUGUUGUUUACACUUUCUUUUUGCUUGUAUGUAAUUUAUAAUAUCUUGAAGUUUGAGGGCAUUGUUGGCUCAUGAAAAGUUAUUUUCAGAUUAAAGUUGCCUUUCUAGGCAAUGAUUAUAACACCUAUCCUUACCCACUAUUUAUCUAUACUGUAACUGAUCCAAAUUCUACUAUUGAUAUCCAAAUUCUGCUGUGCUGAGACUCCGACAUGAGACUGGCACGCGAGUUCUCACUGACUAUAUGUAAUUCUGUAAGGUCUUUUGGGUUUUGACUCUUUGAUGACUCUUACUGACUAUCACACUGAGUGCUAUAUCUAUCAAAUAUAUACAUGCUACUUAAGUCAACAGUAUGCUAAUGCAUUCUAGAAGAAAAUUUAUCAGUUCUAGUUGGUCUUUUACCUUUUCAUGUCGAUUAUAUAUGGCAUAUGGAUACCCUUUAGGCUACUUAACGUGCAGAUCACUUUUGUUAUGCUCAACUUUGCUUACUUUGUAAUCUGACUUUUGGCUCAUUUUUAUGUGAGUAUUCAGUAUAUCUUCUGGGAAGUUGCUAGUCAUUGAAAUAUGAUUUCUGUUUCUUUUGCUGACAGAGGCUACCUGUGAAACACUUCCUCGGCUUUUUCAAAUUAAAUUUGAUCAUGACGUUAUUGAUGAACAUUUAUUCCUCGACAUGCCAAAUGAAUACAUGUUGUCCGGGUUGCUAGUGUUGGAGUAUGCAAAAGCUGUUCAAGAGAGCAUUCAUGAACACCUACAUGUUGUUCGUGAGGGACAACUUCGAAUUACAUUCACGCCAGAAUUGAAGGUUUUCAUUCUAAUAAUGCUUUAGUACUUUCCCACCUGGCAUUAGUUAGAUUGUCAUGCUGUUCAUUUUACAAAUUUAGCUUUAAGGUGUUCUUGUCAUUUAACACAUAUAUAUAUAUGUCACUCAGAUAUUGUCCUGGGAAUUCUGUGUACGACGCCAUGAAGAGUUCCUCUCUCGGAGGUUUAUAGCUCCUCAGGUAUUGAGAGAAACUUAUAGAAAUAAGAUUUCUUUACUUCCAACUAAUGCAUAUCGCUACUUAACAAACCGUCCCCGCUUAAUAAUAAGAAAAAUUGAAAAAUAAAUAAUACGAAAGAGUAUCAUUUUGCUUUCCACUUCAGCAUCUAUUAAGGUUUCAUUUUCUUUGCAAUUGUUAUUCUUGAAUGCUUUCCAGAAUUGAGUUGCAUUUAGAUGAGGGGGAACAAUAAAGCUGUAAACUUACUAUUGAAAUCUUAAAUUGAAAUUAGAAGAUAUGAUGUCGUUACUCAUCCAUUAUGCUCUUCCUUUUUGUAUUUCAUUUUGUUGUUUGAUUAUAUUAACUUGUUUAUUAUCGAGUUAUUAAAUAUAAGGAUUCAUAUAGUUAAAUUUUAGGGAAAACUUCAAAAACCCCUCCUGUGGUUUCAUAGUUUCUCACUUUGCCCCCCUGUGGUUUAAAAUGUAUCAAUUUGCCCCCCUGUUGUUUCUUUUUUCUCUUUUUCUUAUCAAUUUCAUUAUUUUUUUUUUCUUAAAUUAUUGAUAAAGUUAAAAUUAAAGGGUACUAAAGUGAAUAUUUGAUAAAUCUAGAUGGGUAUCUGAAGUUUUUGUAUAUAAUUUAAUAAAAUAUUAAUGAAAAAGCUACCGAAAAGAUAAAAACGAAACCACAGGGGGGCAAAUUGAUACAUUUUAAACCACAGGGGGGCAAAGUGAGAAACUACGAAACCACAGGGGGGGUUUUUGAAGUUUUCCCUAAAUUUUACUUUCAACAAGUGGAAUUAUUUGAUGCUUAUGUCUUUUGGUAUUUUGAUGAAAGUGGAUUUUAGUGUUGAAUCAAUGAUGGCCUGGUGCUUAUAUUGUGGGUUUCUCACAUAAUAGUAGAGACUUCUCUACUAAACUUCUAUCUUUGCUAUGGUUCACAAAAUGGCUAUUACACAAGUUGGUUCUGGAUAAUCUAAAAAUCAUUUAAUUCCUUGAGAGGCGUGACAAAGGAAAUAUACAUUUAUUAUGCUGAUGUUCCCUUGUUUUUGCGACUUUCUGGUAUUUCAAAGCAAUUAUGAGGUAGAAAAACAAAUCGUUUUUUUUUUUUUUUUUUUUUUUUUUUUUGCAACAAUGAUAUCAUCAUCAUGAGUAGUUAAAGUUUGGCUCUGUGUAUGCUGGUAGUUCGUUAAUCUUCUAAGGUGCCUCUUCUCCUUUUUUUUUUUUUUUGUGUGUGUUGUUUUGAGUGUUUAACAAGUGUAGUUUGCUUUUCAAAAAUAUUCUCAACUUUUAACCCAUGCUCAUAAAUUACUAAAUCUAAUAAAUUUGGUGUUUUGGAUAAAUCAUUACAAUCUUAUUUUAGUAUGUUGCAUGAAGUUAUUCAUUUGUUCCACCUAUGCAUGCUUAUUCCUUUGGAUGUUGUAAUAAGUUUUACAAUUCUUAUGUUUUAUGUGCAGGUGAACCAGCUCUUGCAAGUUAGCCAGAAAUAUCAAAAUGCUGUCAAAGAUAGUGGAUCAGCUGGAAUCUCACCGCAAGAUUUGCAAGCCAGCUGUAACAUGUGAGUAAACUUACGAUUUGUGUUCAGUAUUUUAGAUAUGGGGUGUGAAAAAAGAGAAGGGAUGAGACUUCAAUCCUCUGCGUGCACUAUUGUAUUUGUUUGUUCUCUUUGGUUUUUUUUUGUGCAUUUUUUCUAUUAAUUUCUCUUGUUCCCUCCUUCCCCUUCUAUCUUUAUGAUGGAUCUUUUGCUUUCACUUCUUUAUUCUAAUCUCUUUUUAACUUCUCUUCUUUUUUAUUUUUUUUGUUUCCUUCCUUGUUUACUCAGUUGCUCUUAGACUUAAGUUUCUUUUGCUCGUAUACUUAUUUUAUUAUGUGUUUUUUAAUUUUAUAUUCUUAUCUUUGAUUUUUGAAAUCGAAACCUAUAGUAUCAUUACUGUUCUUUUUUUUUUUUCAACAGAAAAAAGUUUCUUCUUUUCUUUUCUUUUUCUCUCAUGUAAGUUGUUUUAUUUUUUAUGCAUUUAGCCUUUUUUUCUCUUUUUAUUUUUCUUUUGCCUUUUGAGUUUCAUAAUUGUUACUUUAUCUUAUCAUAAUCCCAUAUUCCCAUAAUGCUAGUUGAUGGUGCUUGUUUACCUAAAUUGGUAAAUAUGUUUUUUGUUCUGGAUGAAAAACUAUUUGGGAUUCUAAUUUAUAAUUUUCAUGCCACUUAGUUUUGAGGUGAUUGCUAAAACACGCAGUUUGAGGUAGUAGAGUAAGUUGUAUAAUAAGUUAGGGUGUCAAGGAAUUCUUUUUUGUAUUUCAAAUUGUAUGAUGUAACUAGUCGAUUGAUUUCGAGCAACUGUAUAAGUUCAGGGUAUCAAGGAAUUGCUUUUUUGUAUUUCGUACUGCAUGUUGUAAACUAGUCAAUUCAUUUUGAGCCAACUUAAAUCUCUUUGAUUCUUUUUUAACAGUUUUGCAAAUAAUUCAAGAAAGAAUUGCAGGUAGUAGUAGGCAGCUCGUCAAAUGAGCUUAUCUAGGAAUCUCUAGUGUUUUUAAUUUCCUAAGGAAAUUUUAAAUAUACUUGGAAUUUUGUUGUUAUGCCAGUUGUUUGUUUUGAUUAUCAUAUGUUGAGCCUGAUUUAUUAUAGAAAUGUUUUGCUCUGUUAGUUUCUUCUGUAAAUAGUAUUAUUUUUAUGGUUUGCAUUUCGCAGAAACAUCUUUGGAAUCUAUUUUCAUUUUGUUGUUUAACUUGACUAAGUUGCUUUAAUCUGACAGUCAUUUUUUCUUCAUUACACAGGUUUGUAGCUGCAGGUCGUCAACUUGCUAAAAGUCUCGAACUCCAGUCACUGAAUGAUUUAGGUUUUUCUAAACGAUAUGUACGGUGCUUGCAGGUACUUGAGAUUUCCUUUCUGACUGUUUAGUUCACAUUUUUAUAUUAGACCCAACUGUUAAUAUCACUGAAUUCUAUUAUGCGUAUCGGCAGAUAGCGGAGGUGGUAAAUGGCAUGAAAGACCUGAUUGAUUUUGGCCAGGAGCACAAGAUUGGACCCAUAGGUUUGAAAUCUGCGCUCUUAAUUCCAUUUAUUGUUGUUAAUCCGCAGUUGAUGUGAGAGCUUCUAUUACUGUAAGAUCCUUCAAUAUUUUUAUGAGUUUUAAGAUGUAGUAUGUGAUAUUCAUGCAGUUAUCCACUGCAUAGUGCAUAUGCGGUAUGCAGGCGCAUAUGAGGUCCAACUAUUAAAAUAUUAAAAAAAAUAUUUAUAGGUGCUAGAAAUAUAUAUAAAUAUUUUUUGACAAAGCUAGAUAACUAAAGUAACAAUUCAGAAUUCACAAAUUCAAAUAAUUAAUUUUUAGUAACGGAUACGUACACACUAAAGUAAUAAUGUACCAUUUACUCUUAAUUAUUAAAUAGAGAGAGAAAUAGGAUUUCUAUGCAAAAUCAUAAAAAUGUCAAACAAGAAUCAAUGUUCUAAAAGACGGUAUGCUAAAUUUCUAUAAAGAAUAAUUAAAAUUUUCAAUAAACUGUCUUUCGCGUUAUUUGACAGAUCGACACUUAAAUAAAAAAAAAUGUAUACUAUGAAUCUAUGAUAGAAUCUAACAACUACAAAAUUAUUUAGCAAUAUUUGUAAACAUAAAUAUUAGAUAUAUUAGGAAUAAUAUCUAUUAAAAUAAAAGGAAAGAUAGUUAGGUUAUAUUUAUAUAAAGAUAAUUGAAUUUGUAUGCAUAAUUAUUAAUUUAUAUGAAAACAUCAUAUGUAUUUGUAUAAUCAUUUAGCAAGCAGGCACAUUCAACAUUGCAUUUCAAUUCCACCUUAAAUAAAAAAAAUACUGCCGCAUAUGCGUCUGACUACAUACCAAUGUUCCAAAAUGCGGUCUGCGUUAUUCAUGCGGUUCCCACUGCAGAGCGCAUAUGCAGUAUGCAGGUGCGUAUACGGAUGCAUAUGCAGCCCAGGUGGUAAAUAUUUAAAAAUAUUUAUAGGUAUUAAAAUUAUAUGCAAAUACUUCCUAGCAAAGCAAAAUAAUUGAAGUAAUCAAUCAGAAUUCACAAACUGAAAUAAUCAAUUUCAAGUAAGACCUCGUAUGCACACAUGUACCAUUAAAUUAAUAAUUAGCAAUGUGCUCUUAAUUAUUAAAUAGAGAAAUAAAUAGAACUUUGACGCAAAAUUAUAAAAUUGUCAAAUAAAAAUCAAUAUUCAAAAAAGUAGUAUGCUAAAUUUUUAUGAAGAAUAAUAUUUUUUUCAAUAAGCUAUCAUUCACGUCAUCUGGUAGGCCAAUACUUGAAAAGAAAUAUCCAAUUACAUCUUACAACUACAAAAUUAUCCACUAAUAUUUUUAAAUAUAAUUAUUAUAUAUAUUAGGGACAAUGCCUACUAAAAUAAGAAGAAAGCUAGUUAUAUUAGAACUAGGCUAGAAUACUAUUAAUAGCAGUUGAUGCUACUAAGUUUUCGGUCCUUGGAUAAAGUGAUGUGCGGUUAGGAUGAUAGUGGUCCCUUAGGGUUGAGUGGUUGGUUGGUUGGUUGGUUGAAUUGUAUGAUCUAAUGGGUAUAAAUUAUCAAAAGGGUAGAUCUAACAGCAGAAAAUUUGGUAGCAUCAAGAGUUUGCUGCCAUCGAUAGCAUUGUAGCCAGACUCGUUAUAUUAUACUUAUAAAAAGAUAAUUGUAUAUUUAUGCAUUCUUAUUAACUAAACAUGUCUGAAAAAUAGAUAUUUAUACGGAAUUGGGCUAGAAUACUAUUAAUAGUAUUCGGUUGCUAUCGAGUUUUUAACCCUUGGAUGAAAAUUUGUAGGGUUAGGAUGAUAGCGGUCCCCUAAGGUUUAGUAGUAGUCCCCCUAGGGUUGAGUGAGUGGUUAGUUGAAUAGUAUGAUCUAAAGGAUGAAAUUGAUUAAAGUGUAGAUCUAACGGCUAAAAAAUCGAUAGCAAAAGAGCCCAAAUACUAUUAAUAGUAUUCCAGCUCAACUCUAUUUAUAUGUAUAAUUAUUAAGCAAACAAUACUCUAUUUGUAUGUAUAAUUAUUAAGCAAACAAUCUCAUUCAAUAUUGCCUUUUAAUCCCACCAUAAAAAUAAAAAUGCUGCAUGUGGUCGGCUACCUUUAUGCCACCGUAUAUGUCGCCACCUGCCACAUCUGGGCGGGCAUAUGCGGUCGGACUGCAUAUUAUAUAUGCGGUGUGGUUGUUGGUCCAAACCGCCUAUGCGGCUGCAUAGACUGCUUUUUUGGAACAUCGCAGGAUACUGCACUGCAUAUUACUUGUGUGGUGUGGUUGAUUGUCCGAACUACAUAUGCGGCUGCCUUUUGAAACAAUGCAAACAAGAAACAAUAAAAGUCUGUAGAAAAGCUUGGAGAGUACUUAUUACCUCGUUCGCAAAACCUAGUUUUUAUUUAUCAUGAUAUUUCUUUUUUACAAUCAACGAACCUAUUAGAGCUUAUGUAGGUUCUAGCUUUGUCCCCUCCAUGCUCCUUGAAUUCUGAUUUUGUUUCCCGACUUUUGGACUACUAGUUUUCAGGGCCUCAUUUGGUAUUAUUGCCGUCUCUGGUCUUUUUUAAGCACAAGUUCCAUGCACUAGGGUGUGCAGGUUGAUGUGGACCUUUAACUUAGCAGUAAGUAGUAACUUUUCUUCUUCUUUGUAUUUGACGCUGUUCCCUAUCCUGUUGGGGGUUGCUUUUCGAGAAACAAAAAAAAUCGGCAAUGGUACCAAAUGUAGAUGUAAUUAGCCAUUUUAUCAAGUAUUUCAGAGACGAUUAUUAGUACUUGUUGAAGUACUUGGUAUUGCUAUUCUCCUUAUUAGCUAUACUGUGUUAAUAAUGCGGUUGAAGCAUUAAAAACUAUGCAUCUGCACGCUAAAAAAAACUAUGCAUCUGCACGCUAAAAUCUAUGCAUAUGUACAGUGGAAUAAUUUCACCUUAGGUACUUUCCUGUUUGCUACAGAAUAUGCUCAUUGAUUUCUGAAAUAUUUUGGAUAAGAAAUUGCUUAAUAGAAGUUUUAUGUAUUCUGUAUAAACUAAUUUGUCUUCGUAAGCCUCAUUCAUAGCUCGUCAUCUUGGAGGGAUAGAGGUAUCAAGAAUUAUACUGUCCUCUGCAAAUGGUAAACUUCGCAAGCAUUGUUAUUCACAAGUUUAGGAUAUAGAACCUGUUUAAGUUGUGUAAUUUACAGCUCGUAUGCUCGAGUACAAAUCAAUUUCUGAAGGAAUUCAUUAUAUUUAGCACAAGGACUUACAAAUUGGAUUCUAUUCAUAGUGGCUCUUUCAAUUACUUUCGAAGCAUUUGUAUCUAUUUCCAUCAUCAAGAGGCAGCUAUUUGUUCUUCUAGAUGAAGAAAAGAGGAUUUUUUGCAUUCAAAUGUGUCAUCAUGACUUCUCUUUUUCUUCAUAUUUAUUUCUGUUUUAUUUGUUUUGCAGAGAGCUUGAAGAGCUACACAGCGCAGGCCGCUGCGAAGCUCCAGGCCCAAAAGUUACAGGCAGCAGAGCAGCUGAGGACUCCUAACGGCCUUUCCGCCGACCCGAGCACCCUUAGUAAACUCAUGAGCAUUCACCAUCAUCCAGGAAUGUGCGCACAUAUCAUCAAUGGCAACCUCACAAACACUCAACUCAACAGUAACAACAACACACUGGAACGAACUGCGAUGAUGAACAAUAGCUAUCAGAACUUACUGAGAAACUCUAUGAGCAAAAACCAGAACCUACUUCAUCAGGAACUGCCCAACGGCUUCAAUGGGCCUAUUAACCAAUCACAGCCUGUGAGCCACUACCGCACCUCUGUCUCUCCCGUCUUGUCAAAUAACUUAUUCGGUCAGUUUCCACAGCAGCCUCCUAUGAACAGUGGUAACUUGCCGCAGAACAAUAAUAACAUGCAGCAGCAAGUGAUUCAGCAGAUGCUGCAAGAUGGUAUGAAUAAGAACCGGCCAGAAAUGCAGCAGCCUCCCGCCACCUCUGUUCACAACAAUAACGGACCGGUGAAUGCCGGGCCGGCAAAAAGCACCACGGAGUCGGGGAAUGCUCCGAGCAACAUAAGCAACAGCGCUGUCGGUGCAGGACCUACCAGGAGCAACAGUUUCAAAUCUGCCCCCACAGAGACCGCUGUCGCGGGAAGCAGUGUUAGCUCGAGACUCGAAUUGCCCCAGAAUGUGGAUCUAGCGGAGCUGGAUCAGAUUGUGCGGGAGUUUGGAGAAGGCGGGAUGUUUAGCGGCGACAUAGCUGACUUUGGGUUCGAUUGGAAAGUUUGAAAGGUUUUAUGUAGUUUGGUUUGAGGCUUGGUAAAGAAAAUAUUUGUAUAGAAUAGCUACUAUUUGUACCAGUGGAUCUGAUCUGAUUUGUCUAUUGUAUGGCAAGGUGGUACUCUUCAAGUUGAUCUACGUAGGCAGUUUUGAGAUUUCGCAGUUAAAUAACGUUAGUUUUUACUACAACUAAAAUUGUAUAAUAUCAGGGACUAGGCUUUGAAAUGAGCAUCUAUUAUAUCAAGUAACGUUUCGAGGCGUGAUUCUGCUUUAAUCUCUUCUUCCUAGUUGUCUGCCUUGCCGGAAAAUUCUCUUGAUUGAUUUUGUUUGUCUCUGAAAACUCCCAAACCAAACUUGAGAGAACUCUGUAGGUGGUCUCCGAGUCUAAAUAAAAAAGAAAACUGUGGCAUAUAUUUAAUAUAAUACUAUAUAAUAGUAUUCAAGCCUAGGCAAUGACAGAUUUUUUCUUUUUUUUUUCCUUUUUGAGAGAAAGAUAGUAGUAUGCUUUUUGCUUUGUUUAUUUUUUUUUAAAAAUAAAGUUAGCUGAAAAUAUGAAUCAAUUAGAAUUCGAAUUCGAGACCUCAGCUAUCAAUCACUAAACUCUUUGUCAUUUACACUAGAGUCAGUGCAACCACAGGAAAAUUAAGCUCACAGAAGUAUGGUUGGUGGGGGGUUAACAUUCUUAGUAUUAAGGUUUUUCAUUUUUUGGAUAGCUAGUUAGGAAUAUAUGAGAAUAAGUUCAAAAUUGUGUUUGGUUAAAAACUUCUCUUAUUCUUAAGAAUUAGUUAAUAAAAUAUUUGAUAGAUAUCCCAAAAAUAAUAGAAAAUAAUGAGAAAACUAUAUAUAUAUAGAGAGAGAGAGCUAAACUGGAAUACUAUUUAUAGCAAAAGAUUUUUUUUGCUAUCAAGUUUGUAAUCCUUAGAUGAGAAAUUGUAGGGUUAGAAUGAUAUUAAUCCUUAGGGUUGAGUGAUCCCCACUGGAUUAUAAUAUUUAAUCCAAUGGUGAGAAAUGAUGAAAGCAAUUAACUCAAAGGUUAAAAACUUGAUAACAAAAAAUACUUUUUGCUAUCAAUAGCAUUCUAGCCCAACUAUAUAUAUAUAUAUAUAUAUAUAUAUAGAAUUAAGCUAGAAUACUUUUAAAAGUAUCACCCCAUUGGUGCUUUUAGGUUUCUAGCCCUUGGAUCUACUCCUUGAUUACUAAUAGCCAUUGGAUCAAAUACUAUUCCACCUACGACCACCUACGACCAUCUACCACCAUCAUCACAACCUUACAUUCCUCCAUUCAAUGGUAAAAACUCAAAAGCACCAUCUCAUUGGUGCUUUUGAGAGUAUUCUAGCUCAACUCUCUCUCUCUCUCUCUCUAUAUAUAUAUAUAUAUGAGGCUGGUAUGCUUCUGGAAGGAUGGAGCGCUCCGUGCUUCCAUAUCGUUUUUGAUGUUGGGACUUUUGAAUCGACGAUCAGCUCCGUUAGACUUGAUAUAGAGUAUUUUAAGUAUCUAGAAAAUAAAUUUUGUAAUUUUUUAUAUCAUUCGCCUAAUGAUCGAAGUGGCUCAAAAUCAACGGCUGAAAAUAAAAAUCUUACAAAAUAUGACGAUAUGACAUUAAAAUUUUAGAUCAAAAAUAUUUUUACCCGCUUUGUUUAUUUCAUUUAGAAAUAAACUUAGCUGGAAAUGUGAACCAACUAGGAUUCGAACUUGGGUCUCGGGUAUCAACCACCAACCCCUUUGCCACUUGCUCUAGGGACGGUCGAUUUUAGAUCAAAAUUAUUGAUCUUGUUUUAUAUAGUAUAAAAAAUUUUCUAUCAAAAUUUCACGUGAUUUGAAUAUUUCUACACCGUUAAACUUGCAAAUGGCUCACCAUGGCUAUUAAAAUGAUUGAUUUUGAGCCCCUUCGAUCACUAGGCAAAUGAUAUCGAAAAAUUACAAAAUUUAUUUUCUAGGUUGUCACGACCCGGCGUUGCUAAUUUGGACAGCUCGGGCCCGAAACAGACCCGCUGAACGGACAGAGUUUCUCCUGCCUGCCCAAGGCGUAACAAAGUCUAUGCAUACAUAUCCAAGUAAGAGAUAUUAGUAUCAAACAUUUACGAGAGGCAUAUCGCAUAUGCAAGAGAAUUUAAACUAUCUAUUACAAUAUUUGCACAUUUACAUUGUUUAACUUAUUACAACUUUUCUUUACAUACAAAAUAAUAACCUCACAUACAUACAUAUCACUUUUCUUUCUCAAAAGCUUUUACAUGUUUUUUUCUUUUCUUGCUUGCUAUGCACAAGGGUAGAUGAUCUAGCCCCGAGGUCCCGCUAUCUAGGGCUCGAUGCCCUUGCCGCGAUCCUCGACGAAUGCGCUCGUGCUUGGCUCUGCAAAAUAGGGUAUGAGAACUAAACAAAGUUCCCAGCAGAUUCGGCUGUCGACCCUGCCAAUUUUCUCACUAAGUCUAAGAAGGUAUAGAGACAAGAAUAUGUCACUAUGACAAAGAAAUAAUGAAUAGAAACAAUAAGCCUAACUUGCUCAUCAUAUACAAUUAUAUCAUGCUUCAAUGAUAUCUACUAUGCCUUUACCAAAAACAACAUAUCAAUGUUCUACUAUGUAUGCAUCAUAUAUGAAAUGUCAUUACCAUGCCUUGAUCCAAAUCCAAUCGGUUCGCCCAAGGGUCAAACCACAACUCGCCACACACUAUCACCUCUGUGACCGUCUGUCGGGGGCGCACCGUCGUGACUCUCUUCCCCAUCUCAAUCUAAUUGUGACAUUCCGGAGCUCACGGCUUGGGAGUCGCGACCUCCACAAGCCGCAACAGACAACGCGAGUAUGAUCAAGUCCUCCCGCCCGAGGACCUCGGGAAUCCCACAUCCCAAAUAAUCACAAGGCAUGCAAUGCUCAACAUCGGCCACAUAUGCAAUAAUUUUCAACUCUCAUAGUGUCAUAAAUCUACAUAUCUAGUUCAUAUGAAUCUAGCAUGUUCUCACAACAUAUCCACAUGCGUAUGUCCACUAGCAUCUCAUUCAACAUACAUAUAUACAUCUAUCUCGACAUCAUGCAAAUAAAUACACCUACAAGUAUCAUGCAACAUGAAUCAUCAUUUCUCAUACUAAAGUAUGAAUUUAACAAAAACUCAUAGGUUUACCAACACAAUAUCAAUGCAUGAUGCUACAUGACCAAUAUGUAGAACUUAGACAUAAAAUGAAAUUCGGCUAAUUCGAAUAGCACCCCCCACUUUGAGUCGACGUCACAAAGUGGGAAAGCCAAGCUGUGCGAUUUAUCUUCGUCAAUUUCAUCCGACUGCGGCAAACGAAGCAAAAACGGGGUUUUCUCCAAAUUGACCACCGUAAGCUCAACGAGACUCAAUCUACGUAGUCCACUGCAUCGGUUUUACCUUCAAUUGCGGAAACAUAGGACCAAUUAAGAUCAAAACCCAUUUUAAUCAAAAGCCCUCUUUUGAAACCCUAGAAUGCAAAAUAUCCAAAACUCUCUAUGAUUUAUGCAAUAAUCUAGGUUGGAAUCAUAUAGGGUUUCCAUUUAUCACACUUCUAAGGCUUUACACCAAAACCCUAACUUAAAACCUCCAAAUCUUACAAAACUCACCUCAAACCAAAGCUCUCCUCCAAGCCAAGCUUGCACGAGAGGGUUGCUUCACCUUCCAAGCAACCUCCUCUUCACUUCUUGGAGCAAACCCUAGAGAGGGAGUGAGAGGUUUAGAGAAAGAAAGAGAAGUUUCUCUUAGGUUGUGGUGUGAAGGGAAUGAGAGGAGAAAGGGUCAAGAACCCACUUAUAAACUUUCCCACAAGCAUAAUUACACCUUAGCCCUUCACACAACUGAGUUUGGCUCAACCCAAACUUUGCGUGUUCGGGGUCCGGAUCCUACAGCCAGGGUCCGGACCCCGAGAUCAUUUCCAGCUCAAACAGCUUGGAAUUUUUCCAACUUGUUCUCCAAGGUCCCAAACACUAGUUUAACUAUUUCGAAGCACUCGGAACAUUUAACGAACCUCUCCAAAUCGUCCAUUAUCACACUUCGGUCAAUUUGACUAAAGUUUGGCAUGGCGCACUGGGGAUUCAGUACACUACAUAGGUACUUCAAAUACUCUAGAUCAAGUUUAACGGAGCCGAUCGUCAAUUCGAAAGUCCUAACAUCGAAAACGACUUGGAAGCACGGAAGGCUCUGUGCUUCCAAAAGCAUACCAACUCACUAUAUAUAUAUAUAAACAAUACAAAAUAAAAUAAUAUACUUUAACAGAGUCCGGCUACAAUAUGGGCAAUAGCACCAACCACUUAAUGCUAUCAAGUUUUUCACCGUUAGAUUUACCCCUUUGAUCAUUUUCAUUCGUUAGAUUAUACUAUUCAACCAACCACCCACUAAACCCAAGGGACCAUUAUCAUCCUAACCACACAUCUCUUCGUUCAAGGGCCGAAAACCUAAUAGCUCUAAUAACUUGGUGCUAUUAAUAGUAUUCUAGCCUAAUUCUACUUUAACAUAUUAUACACUAUAAUACAUGCUAUUUUAUUUAUUUCAUAAUAAUAGUAUUACUUCUGGUACUAACAACAACAAUAAUAAUAAAUAUUAUUAUUACUAUUAUUAUUAUUAUUAUAAAAUAUAAAUAUAAGAAAGUAAAAUAAAUAUUAUUUUAUUAUUAAUUAUUUUUAUUUUUAUAUUUAUUUUAUUUAGCUAAGUAUAAGCAUGAUUAUCUCUUUCUCUUUUUUUUUUAAUUAGUUAGAUAUAAGGAUGAAAAUAGCUUUAUUACAUUAAAAAGGUGAAAUAGUUGUUUUCAGGUUAUUCUAGGAUUACCUAUAAUAAUCUGGUUUGACCGGAAUCGCUGUUCUAACCAUUUUUUUAAGGCGUUUGGUAAAAUAACGAGGAUAAAUUUUGUUUUUUCUAGUUUAUUCCCGUACCAAACAUGCAUGAAGGAUGUGGGGGUUGAAAGGAAAAUAGGAACAAGUCAUUUAUUUGAAGGAUGUGGGGGUUGGAAUGGGUAUCUCACUUGGUGUGAGGAAUUGACAUUUUGAUUUUUAUUCCUGAGGAGAAUCAAAUCCCCCAAAAUGAUUUCCAAUAUGGAGUUGGGAACCAGCUUUGAUUCUGAAAGACAUUGAGAAAAUAACUUUUUUUCACCAUCAAUUCUUUAUCUUCAAAAUAUUUAAUCUAUAUUCAACUUUCAAAUUAAUAAAUUCUAAAUAUAAAAUUGAAUUUGAAUGAUGAAUUCAAAAUUUAAUUUUUAAUUACUUAAGUUUAAAUGCAAAUUGUAAUACAAGUUUGAUAUUUUAAAAUUAUUUCUAAAUUCAAACUUUUGACUUUGAACAUGAAUUUGUAUUGUAAAUUUAAAUUUGAAGUUCAAAUUUUGUGAUUCAAAUAUUGAUUACAAGUUUGCAUAGUAGAUUUAAAUUUUAAAUAAAAUUUUGAUUCUUCGAAUUUUAAUUUGAAUAUGAUUCUGAUUCCGAUCCUUCUUGUGAAGCAAACAAAUUAGAGUUUUCAUCGUUCCGUUUUCGAUUUUUGUCCAUUUUCAUUCCUAUUCCUAUUUCGGUUCCUAUUUUCAACCUAAUAUGCGCUUAAUUAAAGUAAUUACUAAAAUCACACACCCAAUUUUCAAACAAGUAGAACAGCUAAUGUCGAAUCGCAUUGCAGGUAGAACAGCUAAUGUAUAGCAAGAAAGGUUUCCGUUAAGAGGUAGUCAGAUAGAAUUUGUAACUAACAAUUCUAUUCAGCAGCGCAAAAGACAUAAGAUUGUAUUUGCAUUUUUAAUGUACGAUAGAUAUGUUUGAUUUGAUGUUAGUAUUUUAUAUAGAAUAUUUGUUAUGGAGAAAACUUUAUCAUGCUUGGCCUUUGUUCGGCGAAAAUUGUUAGGCCGAAUAGUUAAAAGUAUCAAAAAAAGAAAAAACUUUGAAUUUUAUUAUUAUUAUUAUUUUUGAUUAAACAGGGAUGAACCCUAUUUACAGAAGCGUUUAGACGAAAACCGAGUAAUGAUACCCGAGCACACCCCCAUGCACGAUACAGAGAAUAUCCCAAUCUCACCCUCGGCACUAGCUCUAACAAAGCAGAUCCCGAGCACACCCCCAGACAAAAACACAAGCACACUAGCACAAUUAAGCACAACUAGCACACCUAUAACCUAGUUGACAGAGGUAAAGAACACCAUUUUCCAAUAAGAUACAGUUUGAAGAAUGUUUGAACCCAGUGUCUCGCUCGUAGCGGAUUCGACGAUUGUCGAAUAGUCUUCUAUUACGCUCCUUCCAGAUCUCCCAAUAGGCUGCUGCGAUUCCGAGGUCGAGAGUGGUUCGAAUUUCACCUGAGACCGUUUGCCGCAAUCGACGCCAUCGUGUUGCAAGUCCUUCAGUUGUGUUGCUUGCUUCUCCAAUCUAGGUUGAAAGUGAGUCUAUUCGUUAACCAAUCCCACACAGAAACUGCAUAGAAGCAGUAAUGCAUAAUAUGCUCGACGGACUCCGCAUCGGAGUGGCAGAGGGUGCAAAAGACAUAAUAUGCUUCGUUUAUUUCAUUUAGAAAUAAACUUAGCUGGAAAUGUGAAUCAACUAGGAUUCGAACAUGGGCCUCGGGUACCAACCACCAAGCCCUUUGCCACUUUUCUCUUCAGACGUAUUUAUAAUCUCUCAAAUCCAACUUCGAAUCCUACAAAACCUCGGCCAAAUUUCGAAAUGUUCUCUUGCAGUUCUCUUUUUCCCUAUCAUGAAUGACUGAGAUCGUUUGAUGUAACAGUUUAAACUUUUUCCUUCCUUCUGAUUCAAGUUUGUCUAUCUUAUUAAGCAGUAACGGUUCAGGUCAGCUUGCGUCUUAGAAAUCCUGAAUUUUCAUGUCAACAAUGCCCCCCUCAUCGCCUGAAAACGAAUUUUGAACUCGGCAGGAUUCAAAAAACAUACAGAAAUGUUCAAUGUAUAUGUAAAAUAUUUGAUUAUAUAAUUAAAAGUGAAUUAAAAUUUCGAUACUUUUAAUCUAAAACACAUACUUAAAUUUUGAGUUCGUUAAAGCUUGAAAAAUAUAUAGAAAUAUUAUAUAUAUAUACAGAAUUGAGCUCCUAUGCUUUUAAAAGUACAAAGUCAUUGGUGCUUGUACAUUUGUAGCCUUUGGAUUAAGAGGUACGCAGUUAGGAUCGAUGAUAGUGGUCCCCUAGAGUUGAAUGUGUGGUUGGUUGAAUAGUAUAAUCUAACGGAUAGAAAUGAUUAAAGAGAUAAAUCUAACAGUAGAAAAAUUACAAGCACCAAGUGCUUGGUGCUUGUACAAGCACCAUAGCCAGACUCAAUAUAUAUAUAUAUAGAGAGAGAGAGAGAGAGAGAGAGAGAGAGUUCGGCUAGGAUACUAUCGAUGGCACCAAGGGUUUGGUGCUAUCGAGUUUUCCACCGUUAGAUUUAAUUCAUUGAUUAUUUUUACCCGUUAGAUUAUAUUAUUCAACCACCCACCCACUCAUAAGAGCUAAAAAAUUAAUAGCACCAAUAGCUGCUUGGUGCUAUAUAUAUAUAUAUAUAUAUAUAUAUAUAUGAGUAAGGCUACUAUGCUAUCGGAAGCACGGAGUCUUCCGUGCUUCCAGCUCGUUUUCGAUGUUGCGACUUUCGAAUCGUCGAUCGACUCCGUUAAACUUGAUCUAGAGUAUUUAAAGUAGCUAGAAAAUAAAUUAUGCGAUUUUUCGAUAUUAUUUACCUAGUGAAUGAAGGUGCUCAAAAUCAACGGCUGAAAAUAAAAAUCUUACAAAAUGUGAUAAUAUGACAUUAAAAAAUAUCAAAAUCACGUGAAAUUUUGAUAGAAAAUUCUUUAUACUAUAUAAAACAAGAUCAAUAUCUUUGACCUAAAAUUUUAAUGUCAUAUUAUCACAUUUUGUAAGAUUUUUAUUUUAAGCCGUUGAUUUUGAGCACCUUCAUUCACUAGGUAAAUAAUAUCGAAAAAUCGCAUAAUUUAUUUUCUAGCUACUUCAAAUACUCUAGAUCAAGUUUAACGGAGUCGAUCGACGAUUCGAAAGUCGCAACAUCGAAAACGAGCUGGAAGCACGGAAGACUCCGUGCUUCCGAUAGCAUAGUAGCCUUACUCAUAUAUAUAUAUAUAUAUAUAUAUAUAUAUAUAGCACCAAGCAGCUAUUGGUGCUAUUAAUUUUUUAGCUCUUAUGAGUGGGUGGGUGGUUGAAUAAUAUAAUCUAACGGGUAAAAAUAAUCAAUGAAUUAAAUCUAACGGUGGAAAACUCGAUAGCACCAAACCCUUGGUGCCAUCGAUAGUAUCCUAGCCGAACUCUCUCUCUCUCUCUCUCUCUCUCUCUCUAUAUAUAUAUAUAUUGAGUCUGGCUAUGGUGCUUGUACAAGCACCAAGCACUUGGUGCUUGUAAUUUUUCUACUGUUAGAUUUAUCUCUUUAAUCAUUUCUAUCCGUUAGAUUAUACUAUUCAACCAACCACACAUUCAACUCUAGGGGACCACUAUCAUCGAUCCUAACUGCGUACCUCUUAAUCCAAAGGCUACAAAUGUACAAGCACCAAUGACUUUGUACUUUUAAAAGCAUAGGAGCUCAAUUCUGUAUAUAUAUAUAAUAUUUCUAUAUAUUUUUCAAGCUUUAACGAACUCAAAAUUUAAGUAUGUGUUUUAGAUUAAAAGUAUCGAAAUUUUAAUUCACUUUUAAUUAUAUAAUCAAAUAUUUUACAUAUACAUUGAACAUUUCUGUAUGUUUUUUGAAUCCUGCCGAGUUCAAAAUUCGUUUUCAGGCGAUGAGGGGGGCAUUGUUGACAUGAAAAUUCAGGAUUUCUAAGACGCAAGCUGACCUGAACCGUUACUGCUUAAUAAGAUAGACAAACUUGAAUCAGAAGGAAGGAAAAAGUUUAAACUGUUACAUCAAACGAUNAUCAAGUCUAACGGAGCCGAUCGUCGAUUUGGAAGCCGCAUCAUCGAAAACAACUUGGUAGCACGGGAGGCCCCGUGCUACCGAUAAUAUAGCAGCUGGGCUAUAUAUAUAUAUAGUGCAGAGCUACUAUGCUAUCGGAAGUAUAGAGAAUCUGAUGCUUUCAACUUUUUGACCAUUGGAUAAAAAAUUAUACGGUUGGGAUGAUUGCUGGCCCCCCAGGGUUGAGUAAUACCCAUAGGGUUGAGUGGUCCCCAUAGGUUAAUAGUAUUAAUCCAAAGGUUAGAAAUAAUUAAAGGGGUUGAUCUAAGGGCCAAAAAAUCGAAAGCACAAGAUCCUCUAUACUUCCGAUAGCAUAGUAGCUCUACUAUAUAUAUAUAUAGACAGAGAGUGGGCUGGUUUGCUUCUGGAAGUACGGAGCCCUUAGUGCUUCCAAGUUGUUUUCGAUGUUCGGACUUUCGAAUCGACGAUCAGCUCCGUUAGAGUUGAUCUAGAAUAUUUGAAGUACCUAGAAAAUAAAUUUUGUGAUUUUUCGAUAUCAUUUGCUUAGUGAUCGAAGGGGCUCAAAAUUAAUAAUUUUAAUGGCCGUGGUGAGCCGUUUGCAAGUUUAACGGUGUAGAAAUAUCCAAAUCACAUGAAAUUUUGAUAGAAAAUUCUUUAUACCAUAUAAAACAAGAUCAAUAACUUUGAUCUAAAAUUUUAAUGUCAUAUCAUCAUAUUUUGUAAGAUUUUUAUUUUCAACCGUUGAUUUUGAGCCACUAAGAUUUUUAUUUUCAGCCGUUGAUUUUGAGCCACUUCGAUCACUAAGCAAAUGAUGUCGAAAAAUAGCAAAAUUUAUUUUCUUGAUACUUCAAAUACUCUAGAUUAAGUCUAACGGAACCGAUCGUCGAUNUAUAUAUAUAUAUAUAUAUAUAUAUAUAUAGAAUUAGGCUACUAUACUAUCUAUAGUACCGGAGCUCCGGUACUAUAGUCUUGUUUUCGAUCUUAGGAUGUUCAAAUUAAUGAUCCACACCGUUAAAUAUGAUCGAGGAUAUAUAAAGUUUUUAGGUAUAAAAUUUUAGUUUUUUUCGACAUCGUUUACUUAGUAAAUAAAUUAUGUCAAAAUGGACGGUGGAAAUUGAAUAAUAUUUAAAAAUUAAGCAUAGGACUUUUAAAUUCGAGAUCAAGAAUGUUAACCAUAAUCUAGAUAGUUUAAAGUAUUUUCUAUCAAAAUUUGAAGAGAGAAAUUUAGAUUCUUCUACACCCUUAAACUCCAAACUCACCAUAGUAGCCAUUGAAAAUUGACAAUUUUGAAAUGGUUUGAUCAUAAAGUAAACUAUGUCGAAAAAAUAUAAAAUUUUAUCUAAAAAUUUUAAAUACCCUAGAUUAGUUUUAACGGUAUGGAUCGCUGAUUUGAACACCCUAAGAUAAAAAACGGGGCUAUAGUACCGGAGCCCCGGUGCUAUAGAUAGUAUGGGAGACUAGCUCUCUCUCUAUAUAUAUAUAGUAGGGUUACUGUACUCUUAUGAGUAUAGAAUAUUUCAUACUCAUAAGUUGAUUUCGAUGAUGGAGCUCCUGAAUCGACGAUCCACUCCGUUAAAUAUGAUUUAGAGUAUUUGGAACUUCUAGAAAAUAAAUUUCGUAAUUUUUUGAAAUCAUAAUAAAGUCCAUCACGUGGGUAUAAAAUAAACAGUCAAAAUCGAAUGACGUCCUAAAAAUAAAUGAUCGGAUCCUUCAAUUUAAGAUCGGAGUGAUUGAUCUUUAUCUAGGUAGUGAAUAGAAUUUUCUAUCAAAAAUUCAACUGAUUUUGAUUCUUUUGCACCGUUAAACUACCAAGUAUCCCAUACCAAUCGUUACAAAUUAUCAAUUUUGUGGCCUUUUGAUCGUAAGGUAAAUGAUGUCGAAAAAUUAUAAAAUUUGAUUUCUAGAAAUUUUAAAUACUCUAGAUAACGUUUAACGGUGUGGAUCGUCAAUUCGAACGCUCUAUCAUCGAAAACGACUUAUCAGUAUAUAGAGUCCGACUAUACUCUUAUGAGUACGAUCGCGCUCAUUCUCAUAAGUCGUUUUCGAUGAUAGGGCAUUCGAAUCGACGAUCCACACCGUUAAAUGUUAUCUAGAGCAUUUAAAACUUCUAGAAAUCAAAUUUUAUAAUUUUUCGACAUCAUUUACCCUAGAGUCCGGCUACUAUACUCUCAUGGGUACGAUAGCCCUCGUACUCAUAAGUUGUUUUAGAUAAUAGAGCUUCCGAAUUGACGAUCCAUACCGUUAAACAUUAUCUAGAGCAUUUGAAACUUCUAAAAAUCAAAUUUUGUAAUUUUUUGACAUCAUUAACCUACGAUCAAAAGGUCACAAAAUUGACAAUUUUUAACGGCCGGUAUGAGAUAUUUGGUAGUUUAACGAUGUAAAAGAAUCGGAAUCGGUUGAAUUUUUGAUAGAAAAAAUUCUAUUCACUACAUAGAUAAAGAAAAAAUAACUCUGAUCUUAAAUUGAAAGAUCAAAUUAUCCAUUUUUAAGACGUCGUCCGAUUUUGACCGUUCAUUUUAUACCCCGCUUGAUGAACUUUAUUAUGAUUUCGAAAAAUUACGAAAUUUAUUUUCUAGAAGUUUCAAAUACUCUAAAUCAUAUUUAACGGAGUGGAUCGUAGAUUCGGAAGCUCCAUAAUUGAAAACAACUUAUGAGUAUGAAGGGCUCUAUACUCAUAAGAGUAUAGUAGCCCUAUCAUAUAUAUAUAUAUAUAUAUAUAUAUAUAUGAGCUCCUAUGCUUUAAAAGUACCAAGUUACUGGUGCUUGUAGAUUUUUGGCCAUUGAAUUAAGGGAUGUGCGGUUAGGAUGAUGUGGGCCCCCUAAGGUUAAGCGGGUGGUUGGUUGAAUAGUAUAAUUUAACGGUUGAAAAUGAUCAAAAGCGUAGAUCUAACGGUAAAAAAUUUACACAAGUACCAAGUGUUUGGUGCUUGUAAAAGCACCAUAGCCGGACUCUCCCUCUCUCUCUCUCUCUCUCUAUAUAUAUUAUACACUUGAAGUAUCUAGAAAUCAAAUUUUGAAUCUUUUUGACAAAGCAUGAAAUUUAGUUUCUAGGUACUUUAAGUGGUAUAAAUUAUAUUCAACGGUGUCGAUCGUUGAUUUGGAAGCUCCAUUAUCGAAAACAAAUGGGUGGCAACGGAGCCCGUUUGCUAUCGAUAGCAUUCCAACUCAACUCUCUCUCUCUAUCUCUCUAAUAUAUAUAUAUAUAUAUAUAUAGACUCAUAAGAGUAUAGCAGCCCUACUCUAUAUGAGUCCGGCUACUAUACUCUUAUGAGUACGAUCGCCCUCGUACUCAUAAGUUGUUUUCCAUGAUAGAGCUUCCGAAUCGACAAUCCACACCGUUAAACGUUAUUUAGAGCAUUUAAAACUUCUCGAAAUCAAAUUUCAUAAUUUUUCGACAUCAUUUACCUUACGAUCAAAAGCUCACAAAAUUGACAACUUUUAACGGCCGGUAUAGGAUACUUGCUAGUUUAACGGUGGAAAAGAAUCAGAAUAAGUUGAAUUUUUGAUAGAAAAUUUUAUUCACUACCUAAAUAAAGAUCAAUAACUCCGAUCUUAAAUUGAAGGAUCCGAUCAUCCAUUUUUAGGACAUCAUUCGAUUUUGACCGUUCAUUUUAUGCCCACUUGAUGGACUUUAUUAUGAUUUCGAAAAUUACGAAAUUUACUUUCUAGAAGUUUCAAAUACUCUAGAUCAUGUUUAACGGUGUGGAUCGUCGAUUCGGAAGCCCCAACAUCGAAAACAACUUAUGAGUACGAAGGGCUCUAUACUCAUAAGAGUAUAGUAGCCCUACUCUAUAUAUAUAUAUAUAUAUAUAUAUAUAUAUAUAGAGUCCGGCUACUAUACUAUUAUAAGUACGAUCGCCCUCGUACUCAUAAGUUAUUUUUGAUGAUAGAGCUUCCGAAUCGACGAUCCACACUGUUAAACGUUAUCUAGAGCAUUUGAAACAUUUAGAAAUCAAAUUUCAUAAUUUUUCGACAUCAUUUACCUUACGAUCAAAAGCUCACAAAAUUGACAAUUUUUAACGGCCGGUAUAGAAUACUUGCUAGUUUAACGGUGCAAAAGAAUCCGAAUAGGUUGAAUUUUUGAUAGAAAAUUCUAUUCACUGCCUAGAUAAAGAUCAAUAACUCCGAUCUUAAAUUGAAGGAUCCGAUCAUCCAUUUUUAAGACAUCGUUCGAUUUUGACCGUUCAUUUUAUGCCUGCUUGAUGGACUUUUAUUAUGAUUUCGAAAAUUAUGAAUUUUAUUUUCUAGAAGUUUCAAAUACUCUAGAUCAUAUUUAACGGAGUGGAUCGUCGAUUCGGAAGCUCCAUCAUCGAAAAGAACUUAUGAGUACGAAGGGCCUAAUACUCACAAUAGUAUAGUAGCAUAAUUCAUAUAGAGUUCAGCUACUAUACUAUCGAUAGUACUAAGCCCUUUGUACUAUUGAGUUUUCUACCGUUAGAUCUACCCUUUGAUCAUUUCAACCCGUUAGAUUAUACUAUUAAACCAACCACCCACUCAACCCUAAGGGACCACUAUCACAUCCUUUCAUCCAACGGCCAAAAACUCAAUAGUAUCAAAGACUUGGUACUAUUGAUAGUAUAGUAGCAUAAUUCUCUCUCUCUCUCUCUAUAUAUAUAUAGAGAGAGUUGAGCUAGAAUACUAUCGAUAGCAAACGGGCUCCGCUGCCACCCAUUUGUUUUCGAUAAUAGAGCCUCCAAAUCGACGAUCGGCAUCGUUGAACAUGAUCUAUACCACUUGAAGUGUUUAGAAAUCAAAUUUGAAAUCUUUUCGACAUCAUUUGCCUAAUGAUCAAAAGGUUUCAAAUUUUGUAAUUUUAAUGGUCGAUAUGAGGCGUUUUCUCGUUUAACGGUGUAAAGAUAUCCAAAUCAAUUAAAUUUUUAUUAAAAAAUUCUUUAAACUAUUUAAAACAAGAUCUAUACUAUUGAUCUUGAUUACAAGACUCCUAUCAUUAAUUUUUAAAGAAUAUUCAUUUUUAGCCAUUCAUUUUUGUGUCCACUCGAUGGAUAAGAGAACAAUGUUGAAAUUGUAUGAAAUUUGAUUUCUAAACACUUCAAGUGGUAUAGAUCCUGUUCAACGGUGCCGAUCGUCGAUUUGGAGGCUCCAUCAUCGAAAACAAAUGGGUGGCAACGGAGCCCGUUUGCUAUCGAUAGUAUUCUAGCUCAACUCUCUCUCUCUCUCUCUCUCUCUCUCUCUAUAUAUAUAUAUAUAGCAGGACUGCUAUGCUCUUAGGAGCACGGAGGCCUCUAUGCUCUUGAGCCGUUUUUGAUGAUGGAAUUUAUGAAUUGACGAUCGGCUCUGUUAGACUUGAUCUAGCGUAUUUGAAGUUUCUAGAAAAUAAUUUUUUUGAUUUUUUGAUAUCAUUCAUCUAGCAAUUGAAAAAAUUCAAAAUCAUUAAUUUUUAACGGCUGAAAAUAAAAAUUCUAUAAAAAGUGGUGAUAUAGCAUUAAAAUUUUCGAUCAAAAAUAUUGAUCUUGUUGUAGAUAGUAUAAAAAAUUUUGUAUCAAAAUUUCAUCUGAUUUGAAUACUUCUACACCAUUAAACUUGAAAACGACAGAUAUCAACCAUUAAGAAUUUUGUAUCAAAAUUUCAUCUGAUUUGAAUACUUCUACACCAUUAAACUUGAAAACAGCAGAUAUCAACCAUUAAAAAUUAUUAAUUUUGAAUCCUUUCGAUCACUAGGUAAAUGAUAUUAAAAAAUCGCAAAAAUUAUUUUCUAGAAACUUCAUAUACCCUAGAUCAAGUUUAACGGAGCCGAUCGUCGAUUUGAAAAUUCCAUCAUCGAAAACGGCUCAGGAGCACGGAGGCCUCCGUGCUCCUAAGAGUACAGCAGCCCUGCUCUCUCUCUCUCUCUCUCUCUCUCUCUCUCUCUAUAUAUAUAUAUAUAUAUAUGACAAAACAGAGAAAAUGAAAGCAAAAGCCUUAAGGUGGUAGAGGUUCAACCUGCAAUAAUUAGAGUCACUAUUCUAAAAGAGAGGCACACCAACAAAAUAUUUCUAUGCAUUUCCAUGUCUAAAAUCAACAUUACAUUCUCAACAAAUUGCACAUAGAUACAUAAAUUUGUUUCAUCAUAAAUACUCCUAGCAUACAAAACCACAAAGAUUCUGUGAGGAAAAGUAAAAAAAAACAAACAAACAAAAACCAAAAAGUCCUCAACAUCAUCACCCCUUUCACUAUGUAAAAUGAAACAGCACUUACAAAAUGCUGGUAUGCACCUAAUAAUAACUUCCAUUUGUUUGCUGACACUGCAGAUAAGCAGGAGGUAUCUUUUGCUGUUUAAUACCCCUGGGCUGUAUUAAAACAGAGUCGAUGCAGAGACCUCCUUUAGUAUGUGUGCAAUCGAUCUGAGUCAUUGAGAACUUGACGUUUAUCGGAGCAAAAGAAUCUCUUACAGCAAAAUCUCCCACAUGGUAAUAUACCCACAUGCCGGGUUCCUCUAAAUAACACUUGGACUGGGCUUGCUGGCCAUCGGAAGUUGAUAAAUGAAACCACACAGGCUUUAUAUCCCACCCGUGGAUGUGCUCGGGGCUACAAACUCGUCUACCGAGCCGCUUGUAGGCCCGGCCCAGAUGAAGCCGGAAGAAUAAGCUAUAAGUGCCUUCUGGGAAGCCGAAGUCAAUCUCUCCCCUCACUUCGAGCCACCAUAUUUGAUGGAGAUAAGCAACUGUGUGAAAUCUGCACGAAUUUACAAUUUACGGUUUAAGUUUCACAUCAUUUCACAUUUUUACGGAUAAAGGAAAACAACUUCAAAACUGAAGUUCAGUUUGAAGAUAAAAUAACCACUCACUCUCUUCUUGUUCAGUUAAGGAAUUAACUCAGCUCCCUAAUUAGUCUACAGGGCUUAUUUUUUGCAAUAACGAAUUACGAAAUGGAACUGGAUUUUAGCAAGCCAACAAACCUAUUAGUGCAGGUGGAUGUGAACUGCAGAAAUGUAUCAUUGAAUAUGGGCCUAGUUACACUAUCUGCAUUGAACUUAGGGGCGUUCCACUUUCUACAAUGUAGUUAGGGUUGUUUCACUUUCUACAAUGUACUUCUAUUUUUCCCCCACUCCCACUAAAUUUCAGGUUCUAUAGCAAUUUCUGGACUCCAUUUAUAGAUGGCAGAAAUUUAAACUAUUUCUGCUAACUACAGCUUCAAUCUUCAUGCAAGAACUUGCUAAGACUUGAUUUGGAGGAUCCUCAAUCUUAGGAGAUUUUUUGCUUAGCGAAAAAUGGAUAGAAGUAACAAUGAGGAGAGUGUUAAAAGUUCAAAUCCAAAAUUUCUCUUCUUGUAGACUAUAAUGAGGGUUGCCAUGAAAAUAAACCAAAAAAGUUUGCAAAUGUCCAUAUCCUAUAAACUUGGCUUCUUCUAAAUUAUCCUACAAGACCUAUAAGCUUAAACGGCACUCUAUCAGCAUCAGUAGUAAAUUGUACAGAAUCGUCAACUGAGUUUCUUAGAAAGCAAAAUCAUCAUAAAAAGAAUUGCGUCAGGGAUAUACGAGGAACUGAUACUAAGGACUAAAAAGCAUGGUAGUACACCCUUCAUAAAUAUGGUCCCAGGUAGAGACAACAAAAAAAAAAAAUGAUGCAUGUAUUAUGUUUUGUCCAGUUACCAAUGAUCUCUACUCCAAUAUGAAAGAGUAUCUUGAUCUCUUUAACUUCCAAACCUUCCCCAAGCCAUUUAGCAACCGUAAGAAGACUUUAACAAUUAACAAGAAAAAAGCCAUAUACACGGCUAUAAAUUACAUCCACCAAAUCUUUAUGAUAGUUUCCAAGAUAGCAAGAAGAGAAAUAAAUAAAUUAUUUCCCAAGCUAAUAAAAUGAAAAUGAUCUCUCUUAUGGCCGAUAAGAAAAAAAAUUAAGCUAACCAUGUAGUAUCAGACUUGAAAUGACUGAAUAUAUGUGACUCAUAAUGGCCAAACAUUAUUUGACACUUUGAAAUGUAAUUCCUAACUUUGGAAACUUCAAAGGAGUAAAAGUCCUGGUGUCAAUAUGAGCUGUUAUUUUCUAGACGUCUGCACGAGAAAAAUAAACAGCUGCUGCAGCUUUGUCACAUUUACCAAAUGCUGAAGUAUAGAGUGAAUAAUUUUGCAACUGACCAUUUUCUUUUUUCUCGCCAAUACGUAGACGACAAUUUUAUUUAUUUAUUUUUCCCUUGCACAACAAGGGGUGUGGAAAACAUGUACAAGUAUAUGUCAUAAUUUAUAAACAUCACAAAUGUGUAGUACAGAAAAAUUCCUUUAAUGCAGUACACCUUCACUUAUUUUCAUACACAAGGAUGCAAUCAUCAAAACUAAAGCAACUAGAGGACACAUAAAAAAUUGGUACUUGCAAAUAUAUAAUAGCAGUCUGCUACUAACGAUAGUAUGUUGUCCUGAGCUGUUUCAGAAAAUAACUGAGAUGAUGAUAGGUGGUUCAUGAUUGUCAAUCUCAUCAAGUUGUAACUGAUGAUGCGAAUUGGCAAUAUUAUUAAGCAGCGGUUUUGCAAAUGAUUGUGGUUGCCUAUUAUGUUGGCAACAACAAAGGUGGCCAGUAAAUAUGGUGACCAGGACCAGUGAUGGUGGUGGCAGACUGGCAGCAGUCCUUAGUGUCAGUUGUCAGUGGCAGCAGUGGUGGCCUGACGGUCAACUGACACCAACUGGCAGUGGUGCCAAUGGGCACUAGUAUAGGUUAUGGCGGAUGGCAGAGGUCACAACCACCGCGGGUAGCAAACACAAGUGAUGGUUUCAGUGGUGGCCUGAUGGUCAACUGACACCAACUGGCAGUGACGGGCAAUGGGCACUAGUAUAGGUUAUGGCGGGUGGCAGAGGUCACAACCACUGAGGGUAGCAAACACCAGUGAUGGUUUCAGUGAUGAUAUUAGCAAAAAGGGUGCCAGUUGAUGGUGGCACCUAGAUUGGUUGGCGUUCAUAGGUGAGUGAUGGUCAGUCACAAAAGCUGCUUACUUCGAGUCUGAGUCCAGUGGUUGUGAGAUCCCUGGUGUACGGCUGUGGAGGCUUGCCAACAGCUCUGGAGAGUGUCGAGAUAAGUUUGAGUCGCGUUGGCGUGAAAUGCAUGCAAAACAGACCCCCCGCGACGUGAACGUAGCACUUGGCGAGAAAAUCCGCAAAAUUGCAGGUUUUUUGCUUGCUGUACCGGUACAGCCAUCAAGGUGUACCGGUACACUUCAGCUAGCUACACGCGGGCUGCUCUCGGGUUAGCCUCUGUACUGGUACACCGACCCCUCGUACCGGUACACCAGGGUAGGUAAGGGGUGGUUUGGUCUUUUUCCCACUUCAUUCAUAUCACCCUUUCCCUCUCUCUCUAUUUAGGUUUGUGUAGAGCAGAGAGAGGGAGCUUUUUCUUCUUCUCCUCUCUCUCUCUAGCUGGGUUCUUGCGCACGGUGGAGCUCGGGUGGAGUUUGGAUUUCGUCGCCGACGUCGCGCCGCGGAGUCGUUCGAGCACGUGUUUGACGCCGGGGUAGCGCGAGGAGGCUGGGCGAGCGUAGGUUUUCGCCGUUCUUGCUAUCGCACCGGUGCUUGGUGUUGUCGAGGUGGGUAAUUCAGCAUUUCCUUUGUUUUUGGGCAAGUUCUUACUACUUCAACUCGGAAUGAUGUUGUUGCUGAAAUUCAUCGUCGACUGUUAGUAUUUCAGCUCGUACUCGACGUAGGAGCAUCGGAUUUCGACGAGACUUGGUUCGUUGGAUUCGGGACUUCGAGAAGAAUCCACGAAGCCCUUACUUGCCGGAUUUGGUGAAGGUUAGCUUGGUCGAAUCCCUUUUCUACUCUGUUGCUGCGAAAUUCGGACUGAAUUGGUGGAUUUUGAUCGUAGAGCUUGGAGUUAGCUCGAGUGCUAGACUUGGAGGGUUCCAGUUGAUCCAGCAGGGAUCACUUUGGUGCGAGGCUUCGUUCGCUACCAGGAGCUAGCUUCUUGAGGUGGGUUACAUCAGUUUUGACUCCUAAGUUCUAAUCGUCGACAUGUAUAAUUUUGAUUUUGGUAUACUCUAUUCUAGCUCGAAUUCAUGAAUUAUAUUGUAGAUUGCAAAUUUGAAUUUGGAGCAUGUGGUAAUAAGUUGAGUAGUUUAUACAUGUUGGACUUGGAAUUCGACUUAGGAGAAAACCUACGAUUGGGACCCGUCACUUGUUUAAACUGCCUGAUUUAGCUCUAAGAGUCGUUAUAAAAUUGUACUGUCGCAGUAUCUUUGAGACGAGUACUCCGGGUAGUUUAGAAUACAUUUACGCUCGUGCUGGUACGCCGAGUGGAUUUUUACAGAGUCAUUUCGCUGUUUCGGACUUUUGCGCCGUUGGAGUUGACGGUGGGCCCAGUUCGCCGUUUUGGCGUCAGAUUGUGCCGAGGGCACGUUACUUGUUUGUUGUUAGACCAGUUAGAGUCGGUUACUUAAACUUUGGCUUGACAGAGCCUGAUUAAGCUCAACAGAGAUACGCUGCAUACUCGGUUGGGUAGCGCCCACGAGUGCCACUCCGGAGACGGGCUUUGUGCUUUCGCGUUGGUGUCGCUCAUGCCAGUUGGACUUGCUCUCCACGGACCAGUUAGUGUGGAGGUAGCUGGAUAGUCACAACUGGGCAGGGACGGGUGUAUUCACAGUCCCAAGGACGGGUAGGUUUACAGUCCCGAUUGGAUUGGGUCCGAUUUGACAUUUCCUACAGUUGGUUAGUGUAGAGCAUGAUAGUGUAGUGAUUGAUAGCGGUAGAGUUUACUUCCUGCUUUUCCUACUAUCCUGGCUCCCCUCUGUAGACUUAGUGGGUGGACCGAUAUUGUUUGGGCUGCACCCACUGAGGACUACUUGUUUUUACAGUAGUUCUCACGCCCAGUUGUUACCCCUGUUUUGCAGAGCCACAGGUUCCGGCUGCUGCGCCUUCCGCGGAUCAGGAUCGAGGCAAGGGCGUCGCGAGUUAGAGCCCUACCCGAUGUGCUGAGCUAGAGGUGCCCCUACUGCAGGUAGAUUUUUUUUUUCGAGUUUAUGUACAUAGUAGACUUAACUCGCCAGUGCGAGUAGCUCUGUAUUUUGGAUUUGGACUAUGUAUAUGAAACUCAGUUUGUUUAGCUUAUGAUUCUCUAGCAGCUCUCUACUACUGUUCGUAGUAGUGUUGGAUUUACAGGUACAGCUAUCGCUUCGUUUACAGGAAAAAUUUUCUUUGUAUACGACGGAUUUGUCGGCGUGCUCGGGGAACGAGACAUUCGGGGCGUGACAGAUUAACUUGGUAUCAGAACUUUGCUGUAGGUCGUUGGGACCUAAGAAACCUAAGUUUGGCAAACCUUAGGAAGGCAAGACGUGAGAGGCGUAAUUUAUUGCGAAAGUCAAUGAUUAUUUAUUCUAACUCCUAGAGUGGAGUGAGUGACUGAAGGAGUUCCUGUUUUGGCCUGAGAAAUUAUGUUGGCUGCAGACAACAUAAUUUUGGAGGGAAACAGGGUCCGCCUUCCAGACUUUCGUUGAUUGGGUCAAAAGUGUUUGUGUUUCAACUGACCCCGAUCUGUUCUUUUCAGCUAUGUAUCGUCGCCGAGGCCAACCGUCGUUGCGGGAGCGUGCGCAGUUGGCACAGGAUCCUGCUAGAUCUCCCGAGAUGCCCGAGCAGGCAGAGCCGAGUGCACCACCAAAGGAAAGUGUACCCCCUGUUGUAGAGCAGAGGGCCCGACCGGAGGCGAGUGCAUCCCUGGAUUUGAGUGCACAGUUAGCUGCCCUCACAGAGGUGACGAGGUAGCAGGGGGAGAUGUUGCAAAGGUUGUGUGAGAGGGUGGCUCAGACAUCGAGUACAGUACCGAGAGCACCAGAGCAGGCCAUUCCGCCUCCGACUACUCCAAUGGUCGCACCAGCCGUAGCUGUACCCCCACCAGCAAAGUUUCCGGCCGCGCCAGUUGCGCCAGCUAGGGGACCGGUUUAGUUGACAGAGGCCGAGCAGGAGCGGUGGACAGAGAGGUUGGCCCGUUUCCGCCGUUUUGAUCACCGAUUUUCAAUGGCAGUUGCACUGAGGCCUGGAUUGUCGAGGGAUGGGUCAGUGCGAUGGAGAAGUUAUUUGAGGAUUUGUUUAUUCCAGAGGGGGAGCAGGUGUCUUUGGGAGUCCAUUGCUUGGCAGGUGAUGCCCACGUCUGGUGGAGGAGAGUGAGGAGAGAGCAGGGACUGGUGGCAUUGCAGCUGGGAUGGGAUGAGUUCUGUGGAAUGCUGUUUGGGAUGUUCUUUCCCAAUNAAGUGUACCCCCUGUUGUAGAGCAGAGGGCCCGACCGGAGGCGAGUGCAUCCCUGGAUUUGAGUGCACAGUUAGCUGCCCUCACAGAGGUGACGAGGCAGCAGGGGGAGAUGUUGCAGAGGUUGUGUGAGAGGGUGGCUCAGACAUCGAGUACAGUACCGAAAGCACCAGAGCAGGUCAUUCCGCCUCCGACUACUCCAAUGGCCGCACCAGCCGUAGCUGUACCACCCCCAGCGGAGUUUCCGGCCGCGCCAGUUGCGCCAGCUAGGAGACCGGUUCAGUUGACGGAGAUCGAGCAGGAGCAGUGGAUAGAGAGGUUGGCCCGUUUCCGCCGUUUCGAUCCGCCGAUCUUUGAUGGCAGUUGUACUGAGGCUUGAGUUGUUGAGGGCUGGGUCAGUGCGAUGGAGAAGCUAUUCGAGGAUCUUUUCAUCUCUGAGGGGGAGCAGGUGUUUUUGGGAGUCUAUUGUUUGGCAGGUGACGCCCACGCCUGGUGGAGGAGAGUGCGGAGAGAGUAGGGACUGGUAGCAUUACAGCUGAGUUUGGAUGAGUUCUGUGGAAUGCUGUUUGGGAUGUUCUUUCCCAACAGUGUGAAGCAGAAGCUCGAGGAGGAUUUGAGGAGGCUUCAGCAGGGGGAUCGGCCAGUGCAGGAGUACGUUCGAGAGUUUACUCGACUCCUGAACUGCAUGCCAUUUGUGGCCAGAGAUGAGGCCCGCAGGGUUUACAUGUUCGAGCAGGGGCUGAGACCGGAUAUUUUUAGGUUGACUCGGACGCAGAGGUCGAGGACUCUGGAUGCGUCUAUAGAGCAGGCCUUGUAGGUGGUGCGAGGUGAGGCAUCGCUGCAGGAGAGGACUCAGGCCGUAGGGCAGAGUCAGGACAGGAAGCGCCCCUUUCCAGAUGACGGUGGACAGUCGAGCAGCAGACGUCCGCCGAGGCCUCCACAAUCACGUUCUCAGGGUCGUGGGUUUUCGAGACGUCAGCGUUCCAGGGGAUCCCGUCAGCAGGGUCAGACUUAGAGGGCACUGCUGUGUGUGAUCUGCGGGGGACCACACUGGCCCCGGCAGUGCGAGCAGAGAGAGUGCAGGUGCUACGGAUGUGGUCAGCCGGGACACAUGAGGGCAGCUUGUCCCCCAAUAGCGUCUCCAGCACCAUCAACUUCAGCACCACCAGCACCGCAGCAGUCUUACGGAGCAGCACCGAGCUACCGCCAUGAGGACAGAUCGUCUGUGCCGCGGUCGAGUGAGCGGCGACAGCAGGCUCCGAGUGGCAGGGUUUAUACAGCCCGGGUGAAGGACUCUACAGCAGCCGACCGAGUGGUGGCAGGUAUCACUUUGAUUUCUGGCAUUAGAGUUCGCACUCUUUUUGAUACCGGUGCCUCGCAUUCCUUUGUUAGCCGAGCAUUUGCACAGUUACAUGGUCUAGAGUUAGGAGCGUUGUCUCAAGCACGAGAGGUGCAGAUCCCAGACUAUGUUUUGCAGGUUGUGGAGUGUUGUUGGUCAUGCCCGGUGCAGCUAGACUCGUGGAUUAUGCCCGCAGAUUUGUUGGUGUUAGGGCAGCUGCAGGAUUUCGACGUCGUGCUCGGUAUGGAUUGGCUGGCGCGGUACUAUGCUACGAUCGACUGUGGAGCGAGGAUGGUGACGUUCCGCGAGCCAGGCCAUGAGGAGUUUACUUUUAGACGCUGCAGGAGCACGCUGUUUGCCACCUGGAUAUCUUCGGCGAGGGCUCGACAGAUGCUGAAUAGCGGGUGUAUCGCUUUCCUAGCGACAGUUGUGGAGGUACCUACGGCGGCGCCGGGACUCGAGGAUAUCCCAGUAGUCCGCGAGUUUCCGGAUGUAUUUCCCCCUAAGUUGACGUCGUUGCCGCCGGAGAGGGAGAUUGAGUUUGUGAUUGAUGUAGUUCCUAGAACUGCACCAAUCUCGAAGGUACCUUAUCGGAUGGCGCCGGCAGAGCUGAGAGAGCUAAAGGCACAGCUUCAGGAUUUGAUAGAUAGAGGGUUUGUGAGACCCAGUGUUUCGCCUUGGGGAGCGCCAGUGUUGUUUGUGAAGAAAAAGGAUGGUUCACUUAGGCUGUGUAUGGAUUACCGGGAGCUGAAUAAAGUGACCAUCAAGAAUAAGUAUCCCUUGCCUCGUAUUGAUGAUUUGUUUGAUCAGCUGCAGGGAUCUUAUGUCUUCUCGAAGGUUGAUCUCCAGUCAGGUUACCACCAGCUGAGAGUAAGGGCCGAGAAUGUUCCCAAGACAGCUUUUCGGACUCGGUACGGGCAUUAUGAGUUCACGGUGAUGCCUUUUGGAUUGACGAAUGCCCCUACCGCAUUCAUGGAUUUGAUGAACAGAGUGUUCAAGCCGUUCUUAGAUAGAUUUGUGGUAGUCUUCAUCGACGAUAUCCUGAUUUACUCCCGGAGUGAUGCUGAGCAUGAGCACUUGAGGAUUGUGCUACAACUUCUGCGAGAGAAGAAAUUGUAUGCCAAGUUAAAGAAGUGCAAGUUCUGGCUACGGGAGGUUGCUUUCUUGGGCCACGUGAUUUCAGCUAAGGGCGUAGCAAUGGACCCGAAGAAGAUUGAGGCGAUUCGAGAUUGGCCUAGACCGACGACGGUGACUGAGGUACGGAGUUUCCUGAGACUGGCAGGAUAUUACCGUCGGUUUGUGGAAGGCUUUGCGAAGCUUUCCACACCCCUCACACGCUUGACGCGGAAGGGGAUUCGUUUUGUCUGGAGCGACGACUGUCAGAGGAGUUUUGACGAGUUGAGACUGAGGUUGACGUCGGCUCCUAUCCUUGCCCUUCCGGUGAUGGGGGAUGGAUUUGUGAUCUACAGUGAUGCAUCGCACAGUGGACUUGAUUGCGUGCUGAUGCAGUAUGAUAGGGUGAUUGCUUAUGCUUCACGGCAGUUAAAGAAUUAUGAGAAGAAUUACCCUACGCAUGACUUGGAGCUUGCCGCAGUGGUUUUUGCUUUGAAGCUCUGGCGGCAUUACUUGUACGGCGAGCACUGCGAGGUCUUCACCGAUCAUAAAAGUCUCAAGUAUCUGUUCACACAGAGGGAGCUGAACCUGAGGCAGCGCCGGUGGUUAGAGUUACUGAAGGACUAUGACAUUAGUAUUCAGUAUCAUCCCAGCAGGGCGAAUGUUGUGGCAGAUGCGUUGAGCAGGAAGUCAGUGCAGAGCCUGAGUUUGAGGAUCACUGAGCAGAGACCCCUACUCAAGGAGCUACAGCGGCUGGGACUCGAGAUAGUACCCCCUGAGUCUACGGCGAGGCUGACGUCUCUAGUUUUGCAGCCCACUCUGUUGGAUAGGAUCCGAGAGAAACAGAGUGGAGAUCCGUACUUGUUGAGGAUUAGAGCAGCUAGACAGGGGGCAGGCUGAGAGUUUUGCUUUGGACAGUUCGGGAGUACUACGGUACAGGGACCGACUGUGUGUGCCUGUGGAUUCUGAAAUCCGAGCAGACAUUCUGAGAGAGGCUAAUUGUUCUCCUUAUACGGUUCACCCAGGUGGGACCAAGAUGUAUAAGGACUUAAAGGCACAGUUUUGGUGGAAUGGAAUGAAGAGAGACAUUGGCAGAUAUGUGGCUCAGUGUUUGACUUGCCAACAGGUGAAGGCCGAGCAUCAGAUGCCUGCUGGGAAGCUUCAGAAUCUGCCAUUGCCCGAGUAGAAGUGGGAGUACAUCACGAUGGACUUCGUCGUUGGAUUGCCUAGAGCGCAGGGUGGCUACGACGCGAUUUGGGUGAUAAUGGACAGACUGACCAAGUCUGCUCACUUCCUACCAGUUCAGACUACCUGGUCCAGAGAGAGACUCGCGCAGCUAUACUUGGAUGAGAUUGUUAGGCUGCACGGCGUGCCAGUGUCGAUUGUAUCAGACAGAGACCCGAGGUUUGUAUCCCAGUUUUGGAGGAGCCUUCAGACCACCGCCUUGGACACUCAGCUGCAUUUUAGCACGGCGUUCCACCCACAGACAGAUGGUCAGUCAGAGCGGACCAUACAGACUCUAGAGGACAUACUGAGGGCAUGCGUCCUGGAUUUUGGAGGAGGGUGGUAUCGACAUGUGAGACUAGUUGAGUUUACGUACAACAACAGCUAUCAAGCGAGCAUUCGGAUGGCUCCGUUUUAAGCGUUGUAUGGACGCAGAUGUCGAUCCCCUCUGUUUUGGAGUGAUGUGGGUGAGAGGAUGACACUUGGACCGGAGAUCUUACUUGAGGCUGAGGAAAAGAUGAGAGUCGUUCGACAACACCUUUUGACAGCACAGAGCCGACAGAGGAGCUACGCCGAUAUCAGAAGACGAGACUUGGAGUUUCAGGUUGGAGAUCAUGUUUUCCUCAAAGUCUUGUCGUCCAAAGGAAUACGCCGAUUUGGAGUACGUGGAAAGCUUAGUCCACUGUUUGUUGGCCCUUUCGAGGUAUUGGAGCGUCUCGAACCGGUUGCAUACAGGAUAGCUCUACCCCCGCGACUUACUGGCAUCCACGAUGUUUUCCACGUCUCAGCAUUGAGGAGAUACGUUUUCGAUCCCUCUCAUGUGAUUGACUUCACUCCACUUGAGAUUGGCGAGGAUCUGAGAUACGAGGAGCGACCGUUGCGGAUUCUUGCUCGAGAGACAAAAGAAUUGUGCAAUCGGAUCAUCCCGUAUGUGAAAGUGCAGUGGAGUAAUCAUGAUGAGCGGGAGGCGACUUGGGAGUCUGAGACGGUGAUGAAGGAGGCCAAUCGCUAUUUGUUUGAUGCCUGAGCAGAGGUAUGUUUCAGUUUCGAUGACGAAAUUUUUUGUAGAGGGGGAGGAUGUGAGAUCCCUGGUGUACGGCUGUGGAGGCUUGCCGACAGCUCUGGAGAGUGUCGAGACAAGUUUGAGUCGCGUUGGCGUAAAAUGCAUGCAAAACGAACCCCCCGCGACGCGAACGUAGCACUUGGCGAGAAAAUCCGCAAAAUUGCAGGUUUUCUGCUUGCUGUACCGGUACAGCCAUCAAGGUGUACCGGUACACUUCAGCUAGCUACACGCGGGCUGCUCUCGGGUUAGCCUCUAUACCGGUACACCGACCCCUCGUACCGGUACACCAGGGUAGGUAAGGGGUGGUUUGGUCUUUUUCCCACUUCGUUCAUAUCACCCUUUCUCUCUCUCUAGCUAGGUUCUUGCGCACGGUGGAGCUCGGGUGGAGUUCGGAUUUCGUCGCCGACGUCGCGCCGCGGAGUCGUUCGAGCACGUGUUUGACGCCGGGGUAGCGCGAGGAGGCUGGGCGAGCGUAGGUUUUCGCCGUUCUUGCUGUCGCACCGGUGCUUGGUGUUGUCGAGGUGGGUAAUUCAGCAUUUUCUUUGUUUUUGGGCAAGUUCUUACUACUUCAACUCGGAAUGAUGUUGUUGCUGAAAUUCAUCGCCGACUGUUAGUAUUUCAGCUCGUACUCGACGUAGGAGCAUCGGAUUUCGACGAGGCUUGGUUCGUUGGAUUCGGGACUUCGAGAAGAAUCCACGAAGCCCUUACUUGCCGGAUUUGGUGAAGGUUAGCUUGGUCGAAUCCCUUUUCUACUCUGUUGCUGCGAAAUUCGGACCGAAUAGGUGGAUUUUGAUCGUAGAGCUUGGAGUUAGCUCGAGUGCUAGACUUGGAGGGUUCCAGUUGAUCCAGCAGGGAUCACUUUGGUGCGAGGCUUCGUUCGUUGCCAGGAGCUAGCUUCUUGAGGUGAGUUACAUCGGUUUUGACUCCUAAGUUCUAAUCAUCGACAUGUAUAAUUUCGAUUUUGGUAUAGUCUAUUCUAGCUCGAAUUCAUGGAUUAUAUUGUAGAUUGCAAAUCUGAAUUUGGAGCAUGCGGUAAUAAGUUGAGUAGUUUAUACAUGUUGGACUUGGAAUUCGACUUAGGAGAAAACCUGCGAUUGGGACCUGUCACUUGUUUAAACUGCCUGAUUUAGCUCUAGGAGCCGUUAUAAAAUUGUACUGUCGCAGUAUCUUUGAGACGAGUACUCCGGGUAGUUUAGAAUAUAUUUACGCUCGUGCUGGUACGCCGAGUGGAUUUUUACAGAGUCAUUUGGCUGUUUCGGACUUUUGCGCCGUUGGAGUUGACGGUGGGCCCGGUUCGCCGUUUUGGCGUCAGAUUGUGCCGAGGGCACGUUACUUGUUUGUUGUUAGACCAGUUAGAGUCGGUUACUUAAACUUUGGCUUGACAGAGCCUGAUUGAGCUCGACAGAGAUACGCUGCAUACUCGGUUGGGUAGCGCCCACGAAUGCCACUCCGGAGACGGGCUUUGUACUUUCGCGUUGGUGUCGCUCAUGCCGGUUGGACUUACUCUCCAUGGACCAGUUAGUGUAGAGGUAGCUGGAUAGUCGCAACUGGGCAGGGACGGGUGUAUUCACAGUCCCAGGGACGGGUAGGUUUACAGUCCCGAUUGGAUUGGGUCAGAUUUGACAUUUCCUACAGUUGGUUAGUAUAGAGCAUGAUAGUUUGAUUGAUAGCGGUAGAAUUUACUUCCUGCUUUUCCUACUAUCCUGACUUCUCUCUGUAGACUUAGUGGAUGGAUCGAUGUUGUUUGGGCGGCACCCACUGAGGACUACUUGUUUUUACAGUUGUUCUCACGCCCAGUUGUUACCCCUGUUUUGCAGAGCCACAGGUUCCGGCUGCUGCGCCUUCCGCGGAUCAGGAUCGAUGCAAGGGCGUCGCGAGUUAGAGCCCUACCCGACGUGCUGAGCUAGAGGUGCCCCUACUGCAGGUAGAUGUUUUUUUUUCGAGUUUAUGUACAUAGUAGACUUAACUCGCCAGUGCGAGUAGCUCUGUAUUUUGGAUUUGGACUAUGUAUAUGAAACUCAGUUUGUUUAGCUUCUAUUUCUCUAGCAGCUCUCUACUACUGUUCGUAGUAGUGUUGGAUUUACAGGUACAGCUGUCGCUUCGUAUACAGGGAAAAUUCUUUUGUAUACGGCGGAUUUGUCGGCGUGCCCGGGGAACAAGACAUUCGGGGCGUGACAGUGGUGGUGUGGGUGUUGUUUGAAAAUCGUGGCUUAUUGGUCAAUAAUUGUUGAUGGUUGCACUGACCAGCGUUUAGGAUUGUUCUGGUGGCAAAUAGUGAUGGCCGAACUCAGCAGUCACCACCAUCGACAUUGGCAUAUGGACACAUUUGCUAACAGUAGUGAAUGAUGGUGGUGAGAACCUAGUGAUUUGGUGCACGAAGAUGUUUACUAUCAACUGUAGCCAACUAGAGCAGAGGACAAUAGUGUAAGUGGUGUGAACAACUGUAGCAACAAAAGGUUAUUGAUAAGCAUUUUCGGAUCAUACAGAUCUAUGCAUUUAAUUCAUAGAUGUUGGGUUCCUAGCAAUUUGAUUCCUGGAAUCAUAUUCUUUGGGACAUUCUUUCAAUCUGUAAAUAAAAUACAUCACCAACCAGGCGACCAUAGCAAUAAUAUGCUUCAUAAUCUGACUCCUAGGAAUCCAACUCUCUAGUUAACUCAAAAUCUGCGGAGCGCACACAUCAUAAAGUUUGUGGUGGUAUGUAAGCACAAAUUUGAAGUUCAAAGAAAAACUGCAUAGAAAUUCCAAAAAGAAAGAAGUUGUACAAUAAUAAAGUCUUUGAGUAGCUAAAUUCACAUCAAUGAAUUUAAACAGCAACAAUGGUUUUAACAAUUCUACACAGUAAUUUGAACUCAACUGAGAUAUACUUAAGCACCCAUAAGAAAAUAAGAAAAUGACGAGAUUUCACUAACAACACUAUAAUAGCCGAGAGAAACACCUAAACAUUACCAUAAUCAGCAACAAGGAAUCUUCACUUGUUUCCUCGACAUAGCUAAAUAAAAGCAUACUAUUGACAGAUCAAAUACCCAGAGAUAGGCAAAAGAAGAAGAAGAAGAAGAAGAAGAAGCAACUGCAAUUUACUUGACAAACAAUAUAAUACCUUGAUUCUUCAGUUGGGAUGUAAUUCCAGUAUCUCCGAUCAUCGAUUCCCGUAAUCGACAGCGCCUUCGACGAAAUCGACAGGCAAAUACCUCCCCUCUUCUUUUCCAGCCAAAAUUCCUGCACCACAAGCCCAUCAAAAUUCACACCCACCAAUAAAAUAAGAUUAACAGCUAAAACCACGAGAUCAUACACUAGGUUCCCCUAAUUCCAUCACACCUUGGUGCCCCCGUCGAAGGGGUUGCGGCGGCAAAGCCAAGCGUACGUCUCCUUCUUGGUGAGCACCCACUUUGCAGGGCAAUCGUCGCCGCCGAGGGCCACCGCCAUCAAGUAUCCGUAGUUCCUCGGCAGCUUAGCGGCCCAGAUGGCGUCGGCCGACGCCGCCCCGCGGAAGGUGCGGCUGAGGCGCGCCAUCCGGCAGAUCUCCGGCGGGUCGAGGUGGAGCAGCACCUCCGCCACGCAGCUCUCCGGCAGGUCCGCCAUCACCGUCCGGCGGGCCCCCCCGCCCUCGUCCCCUUCCGUCCCCAGCAUGCUCGACGCCCCCGCCCCCAUCCCCGAAACCCUAACCCUAACCCUAGCCCUAGCCCUAGCCCUAGCCCUAGCCCUAGGCGGUGAUCCGGGUGGAGUUUAGCGGCAGUAGAGGGUGAGGGAUUUGGAGGAGUGGGGAGAGGCGGGAGCGCUUGGAUGGGGGGGGUAGGUUAGGGAAGAAGGGGGAGGGGAGGAGGAGCGCCCAUGGAGGGAGCCGGGGGGGAGCGGAGGGGGUGCCGUUGGAGAAGGAGAAGGAGAAAGGGCGGAAUAAAGUUAUUCCGAUCGAGGGGGGAUAAGUGCAAGAGGAUUGAAGAUAAGGGGGGGAAUAAAUGCGCCCGGAUUUGUUCUAAUUUUAGUGGGAGGAAUAAAGAGGAGGACAGGCGGUGGGGGUUGGGCGCAGUACCAGCCGAAAACUGAGAGGGAGGGACUGACAGAGACAGAUAGGGAGAGACAGACAGAGAGGGGAGGACGAGGGGAUAAGUUUUCGAAUCUUGGAUUAGAACAAGCCAAGGUGGCCUUUUUGGAUAGUAAAUAUAUAUAUAUCCAUACAUACAUGCCCGUGCUACGCACAUUUCGUAGAUAAUAUUUUAAUAAAAUUUAAAAUUUAAAUUUAAAUUUAAAUUACUUAAUUUUAUUUAUUAGAAAUAGAUUUAUGUAGUGAUUAUUUUAUGAAAUUGAGAAUUAUUAUAUUUUUCUAGAAAUUUUGCACAGUAGAAGAUAUGUCAAAAUUAAAAAGAUAAGUCGGAAUCACCUCGAUUGGCUCGAUGCAGAUGAUCUGUAGUUGAUCGGGAGUAUUCUAAUACAACGGCUAAUCCGAACAUAACACUACUGUUAUGUUUGGUUCAGGAAAGAUCAUGAAUAAAGUGGGUUAUUCUCACUAUUCUAUCGAAAUAGGAUCCCUUUGCUAUUUCUAAUUAGGAAUUAUUUGAUUUCUUAAAAAAGUGUUGAUAAAAUUUUUUUGUUAAAAAAAAAUCUUAAUGGUUGAAUGAAAAAUGCCAUUAAAUUCAUCAAAGCAGUCAAAAACAGGUAGAUACAAACACUUUAUUUUAAUGGUUGAAUGAAUGUCUAUAGAGUACUAAAUUGUACAAACUUUUAUAAAAUCGUAGUUGGGUGGUUAGUUAAAUAAAUUAAAAAUUAAUGCUACUUUUAUUUAGCAUUUAGAAAUUUAGGUAGAAUACUUUAAUUUGUACACUUUUUGGUGUCUAAGUCUAGAAUGUCUGUAGAUGCAGAUACAUAAAAUUUGAUCUGAACUCGCGUCCAAAUAGAGCGGAUUUAAUCAAUUACUAAUUGGGUAUGGUUUUGAUUAUAGACACAAUUAACUAAAACUUGAUGGAUUCGAAUUCACUUAUGGCUUUUGUUUGUACUUGAACUCAAAGCACAAACCAAACCUUUAUGUAAAAUAUAAAUUUUUGAUAUUCAUUUUAAUAAAUAACUAAUGUAGAGAUCCACACGAUGCAGUAGAUAGAUAAUAGAAGCAAAAAUUUUAAAAUUUUAAUAAAAUUUAUAUUUACAACUUAUAUUGAUAUAUAAGAAGCUAUACCAUAUUAAGUACAAUCAAUUUGCAUGAUUAAAUUCAACUGUUAAAACAAUAAAAUUAUAGCUAGAAACUUAUCUAAUUUUUUUAAAAUCAUCGAAAUACAAUAAAAGACAUACAAUUUUAUUGUACUAUGUGCCUCUUGAACAUUCCAUUGUAAAAGAUAGAAAAGAGCUAGCUCUAGCUAAAUCAAGCAUCUUUGUCCAAGCAUCAAGAUAGAUUAAGAAUAUGAAAUAUAUAAAUAAUAAAUUAACGUAUCUGCCUUAAGAAAAUUUUGGGUGGGAUCUUAGGCUACAGUCUUUAUAUCAUACUUCUUAAUCUAUAGAAAGAACUUUGCCCACAAUAGUGCCUACUCAGAAAAAUGGUCAUAGGAUGAAAAUAAAACAAAAAAAUCAAUUAAAAUAAAACUAAUACUUUUUUGGAGCACUUUUUCAUCUACGCGAGCUUGCUCAUCCAAACCCUAUGUAUCUUCUUAAUCUUCAGUCGGUAGUUGCUCCCCGUGCCAAGUCACUUUUUGGAUUUCCAUUACGACCUAUGAACAACCACCUCAUCUGCAUCACCAAACUACGAUAUCUAAACCGACAGAGUCUUGCCAUCACAUCAACCGCAGAAAUCCUAGUUCUUGGAUAUUAUUUACACAAGAAAUAAAGUAUGCAAAGAAUAAAAAGGAGAAGUUAUAACUAGGAAAGAAAAGGGAGUUUGGAUAAGAGUUGUCGGUUGGGAGGUGCAGGUGGUUACUCACCGAAACAUUGGGGUUAGGUGAGGGUUGGAGGUAAUUAGGGUGGCGGAGGAGAGAAAACAUACCGGACAAUAAAAAAUAUGUUUUUUAUUAUAGUAGUAGAUUAGAGGGUGGAGUGUGAGUAGAGGGAGAGAGAGAGUAACACAAUUGUUUCUACUACUCCUGCUACUUCUUCUUCUCGUACUCUUCUUGCAACAGAAGAAACUCUUCGUAGCAGGGUAUUUUAGCUCAGCACCGGGUAUAUUUCCGGGCGAUCCGGACAGACGCAACCCCGGGGGCGAACGGCACUUGUCGGUGACGGAGCCGACGGAGGAACCCGCCGAGCACGCGCAGGUGUGACAGCUCCGUUCGCCGUAGGACUCGGAGGAGAAGUUCCCCUGCAACGCGCCUUCGAGCGAAGAGCUCCUAGCGUCCUUGAAGAACCAACAAACUCUUGAUCCUAAAGACGCCAACUACACUACCGUUCUGAGACAGCCAAAUCUAUAGCAUCAAACCACUACGUCUACUCCACCAACAAGUAUCCAGCGUUAUCUAUAGGUUUUUCGCUGAACCGCGCCCGUCGUUGAUGGCUGACUUCUAAUUCUUCUACGUAUCAAAUUAAUGUUUAUAUUAGAGUUUACUUCAUUGGGAAAAUGGACGAUUUACAAUUUUAAUGUAGAGAAUUGGAGAUAACUAGUUGCUAAUUCUAGAAAAAAUAAAAAAUAUUUCAUUUCAUGACUUAGUAAAGAGAUAAUAAUUAAACAAAAUGUUAAAGAUGGGCGACGCUUCACGUCCGAGGAAUUGAUUAUAUGUAAAUAAUUGGAUAUACUUAAGAGUUAUAAAAACGGUGUACCGUUCAAAAGAAAGUUGUAGUGAUUGGGAAAAAAACUUUGGAAACGAGAACUGAAAAGGGGAGGGGAGGAGAGAUAAAUUACUGGAUAUUAUUUACACAAGAAAGAAAAUAUGCAAAGAAUAAAAAGGAGAAGUUAUAACUAGGAAAGAAGAGGGAGUUUGGAGAAGAGUUGUCGGUUGGGAGGUGCAGGUGGUUACUCACCGAAACAUUGAGGUUAGGUGAAGGUUGGAGGUAAUUAGGGUGGCGGAGGAGAGAAAACAUACCGGACAAUAAAAAGUAUGUUUUUUAUUAUAGUAGUAGAUUAGAGGGUGGAGUGUGAGUAGAGGGAGAGAGAGAAUAACACAAUUGUUUCUACUACUCCUGCUACUUCUUCUUCUCGUACUCUUCUUGCAACAGAAGAAACUCUUCGUAGCAGGGUAUUUUAGCUCAGCACCGGGUAUAUUUCCGGACGAUCCGGACAGACGCAGCCCCGGGGGCGAACGGCACUUGUCGGUGACGGAGCCGACGGCGGAACCCGGCGAGCGCGCGUAGGUGUGACAGCUCCGUUCGCCGCAAGACUCGCAGGAGAAGUUCCCCUGCGACGCGCCUUCGAACGAAGAGCUCCUAGCGUCCUUGAAGAACCAACAAACUCUUGAUCCUAAAGACGCCAACUACACUACCGUUCUGAGACAGCCAAAUCUAUAGCAUCAAACCACUACGUCUACUCCACCAACAAGUAUCCAGCGUUAUCUAUAGGUUUUUCGCUGAACCGCGCCCGUCGUUGAUGGCUGACUUCUAAUUCUUCUACGUAUCAAAUUAAUGUUUAUAUUAGAGUUUACUUCAUUGGGAAAAUGGACGAUUUACAAUUUUAAUGUAGAGAAUUGGAGAUAACUAGUUGCUAAUUCUAGAAAAAAUAAAAAAUAUUUCAUUUCAUGACUUAGUAAAGAGAUAAUAAUUAAACAAAAUGUUAAAGAUGGGCGACGCUUCACGUCCGAGGAAUUGAUUAUAUGUAAAUAAUUGGAUAUACUUAAGAGUUAUAAAAACGGUGUACCGUUCAAAAGAAAGUUGUAGUGAUUGGGAAAAAAACUUUGGAAACGAGAACUGAAAAGGGGAGGGGAGGAGAGAUAAAUUACUGGAUAUUAUUUACACAAGAAAGAAAAUAUGCAAAGAAUAAAAAGGAGAAGUUAUAACUAGGAAAGAAGAGGGAGUUUGGAGAAGAGUUGUCGGUUGGGAGGUGCAGGUGGUUACUCACCGAAACAUUGAGGUUAGGUGAAGGUUGGAGGUAAUUAGGGUGGCGGAGGAGAGAAAACAUACCGGACAAUAAAAAGUAUGUUUUUUAUUAUAGUAGUAGAUUAGAGGGUGGAGUGUGAGUAGAGGGAGAGAGAGAAUAACACAAUUGUUUCUACUACUCCUGCUACUUCUUCUUCUCGUACUCUUCUUGCAACAGAAGAAACUCUUCGUAGCAGGGUAUUUUAGCUCAGCACCGGGUAUAUUUCCGGACGAUCCGGACAGACGCAGCCCCGGGGGCGAACGGCACUUGUCGGUGACGGAGCCGACGGCGGAACCCGGCGAGCGCGCGUAGGUGUGACAGCUCCGUUCGCCGCAAGACUCGCAGGAGAAGUUCCCCUGCGACGCGCCUUCGAACGAAGAGCUCCUAGCGUCCUUGAAGAACCAACAAACUCUUGAUCCUAAAGACGCCAACUACACUACCGUUCUGAGACAGCCAAAUCUAUAGCAUCAAACCACUACGUCUACUCCACCAACAAGUAUCCAGCGUUAUCUAUAGGUUUUUCGCUGAACCGCGCCCGUCGUUGAUGGCUGACUUCUAAUUCUUCUACGUAUCAAAUUAAUGUUUAUAUUAGAGUUUACUUCAUUGGGAAAAUGGACGAUUUACAAUUUUAAUGUAGAGAAUUGGAUAUAACUAGUUGCUAAUUCUAGAAAAAAUAAAAAAUAUUUCAUUUCAUGACUUAGUAAAGAGAUAAUAAUUAAUCAAAAUUUCAAAGAUGGACGACGCUUCACGUCCGAGGAAAUGAUUAUAUGUAAAUAAUUGGAUAUACUUAAGAGUUAUAAAAACGGUGUACCGUUCAAAAGAAAGUUGGAGUGAUUGGGAAAAAAACUUUGGAAACGAGAACUGAAAAGGGGAGGGGAGGAGAGAUAAAUUACUGGAUAUUAUUUACACAAGAAAGAAAAUAUGCAAAGAAUAAAAAGGAGAAGUUAUAACUAGGAAAGAAGAGGGAGUUUGGAGAAGAGUUGUCGGUUGGGAGGUGCAGGUGGUUACUCACCGAAACAUUGAGGUUAGGUGAAGGUUGGAGGUAAUUAGGGUGGCGGAGGAGAGAAAACAUACCGGACAAUAAAAAGUAUGUUUUUUAUUAUAGUAGUAGAUUAGAGGGUGGAGUGUGAGUAGAGGGAGAGAGAGAAUAACACAAUUGUUUCUACUACUCCUGCUACUUCUUCUUCUCGUACUCUUCUUGCAACAGAAGAAACUCUUCGUAGCAGGGUAUUUUAGCUCAGCACCGGGUAUAUUUCCGGACGAUCCGGACAGACGCAGCCCCGGGGGCGAACGGCACUUGUCGGUGACGGAGCCGACGGCGGAACCCGGCGAGCGCGCGUAGGUGUGACAGCUCCGUUCGCCGCAAGACUCGCAGGAGAAGUUCCCCUGCGACGCGCCUUCGAACGAAGAGCUCCUAGCGUCCUUGAAGAACCAACAAACUCUUGAUCCUAAAGACGCCAACUACACUACCGUUCUGAGACAGCCAAAUCUAUAGCAUCAAACCACUACGUCUACUCCACCAACAAGUAUCCAGCGUUAUCUAUAGGUUUUUCGCUGAACCGCGCCCGUCGUUGAUGGCUGACUUCUAAUUCUUCUACGUAUCAAAUUAAUGUUUAUAUUAGAGUUUACUUCAUUGGGAAAAUGGACGAUUUACAAUUUUAAUGUAGAGAAUUGGAUAUAACUAGUUGCUAAUUCUAGAAAAAAUAAAAAAUAUUUCAUUUCAUGACUUAGUAAAGAGAUAAUAAUUAAUCAAAAUUUCAAAGAUGGACGACGCUUCACGUCCGAGGAAAUGAUUAUAUGUAAAUAAUUGGAUAUACUUAAGAGUUAUAAAAACGGUGUACCGUUCAAAAGAAAGUUGGAGUGAUUGGGUAAAAAACUUUGGAAACGAGAACUGAAAAGGGGAGGGGAGGAGAGAUAAGUUACUGGAUAUUAUUUACACAAGAAAUAAAGUAUGCAAAGAAUAAAAAGGAGAAGUUAUAACUAGGAAAGAAAAGGGAGUUUGGAUAAGAGUUGUCGGUUGGGAGGUGCAGGUGGUUACUCACCGAAACAUUGGGGUUAGGUGAGGGUUGGAGGUAAUUAGGGUGGCGGAGGAGAGAAAACAUACCGGACAAUAAAAAAUAUGUUUUUUAUUAUAGUAGUAGAUUAGAGGGUGGAGUGUGAGUAGAGGGAGAGAGAGAGUAACACAAUUGUUUCUACUACUCCUGCUACUUCUUCUUCUCGUACUCUUCUUGCAACAGAAGAAACUCUUCGUAGCAGGGUAUUUUAGCUCAGCACCGGGUAUAUUUCCGGGCGAUCCGGACAGACGCAACCCCGGGGGCGAACGGCACUUGUCGGUGACGGAGCCGACGGAGGAACCCGCCGAGCACGCGCAGGUGUGACAGCUCCGUUCGCCGUAGGACUCGGAGGAGAAGUUCCCCUGCAACGCGCCUUCGAGCGAAGAGCUCCUAGCGUCCUUGAAGAACCAACAAACNAAUAAGAUCUUGUAUUGUAAUUUAAAAUAUAAGUUGAAAACAAAAUAAAUUUGAAGUUUAGAACCUAAAAAGUAUACAGAAACCUCCAAUAAAUCAAAGUAGUAUAGUGCAAUUUAAACUUACUAAUAAAUAAAUUUAGACUGUAUAAUUUAAAUUUUAAGCUUAUAAUAAAUCUCUACCAUGGAGUUUUACUAGAGUAAACAAAAUUAAAAAUAUAGAUAAAUUAGAUAAAUUUAUAUUGAACAAAUCUAAGCUAUUUGUAUAUUUUAUCAAUUUGAUCAGUCUAAUUAAUUUGAUUUAUUAAAUUGAUUUUGAUCUUAGCUUUAAAAUUUUUCAGAUUUUAGUUGAUUUUUUAAAUUUUAGCUCCUUACAAAAUUUGUAAGGAAACAAAGAGAGAAUAAAAAUUUUGAUAAUAGGGUAGAGGUAAAAUUAUUAAAUUAUCCAUUAUUUAAAGACAAAAAUACCUUUUUUUGAGAUACCUGGUAACCGGUAUAUCUUCCAAAGUGACUUAGUAUUGCAUGUCACAAUUUAAAAAAAUUUAAAUCUGAGCCGUUGAAGAGGAGUGAAUAUUAAAUUUAGCUCAUGAGACGAAAGAAUUACGCAACCGGGUCAUCCCGUAUGUAAAGUGCAAUGGUGCAAUCACGAGGAGUGUGAGACGACUUGGGAGCCGGAGAUAGUGAUGCAGGAGUCCUACUCUUUCUUAUUUGAGACUCAGCAUUGAGGUAUGCGUUAACUUUCGAGGACGAAACUUUUUGUAGUGGGGGAGGAUGUAGUAUUCCUGAUUUUUGGGUUGCCUGUGGAUCUCAGCAUCUGAGGCUUGUCGACACAUCUGGAGAGUGUCGGGAAACGUCGGAGUCGUUUUGGCGCGAAAUGGACGCAAAAUGGACUCAGCGUGACGCGAGAGCAGUGUAUUGACAUUGGAAUCUGCAAAGUGCAGGUUUUCAGUAUUGAGUACCGGUACCAUGUCGGGAGUACUGGUACCUCAGUGUAAAUCCUGGACAGCAUGCUCUCGGGUUGCGCCAAUUGAUGCUUAGUACCGGUAUAACAUCGGGCUGGUACCGGUACCUGGUGUGCGAGCUUGUGGGCUGAGAGGCCCAGUACUAGUAACCAAAUCGAGUACCGGUACUCCAGCUGGAAUUUUGAGUAAGUAAGGGGUAUUUUGGGCAGAGAUGUGUCGAUACCUUCAACCUUAUCCCCACCGCUUUAUAUUUGUGUAGAGAUGCAGAGAGUGAGCUUUUGGUUGCUACUUCCUCUCUCUCUAGUUGGAGUCGACGCUCGGGGUGGAGUCGUGGCUCGAGCUCGGAAGUUUGUCGCCGUUGCAUCGGAGGGUCAUUCGAGCGCGUAGGCGUCGCGGUUGCGCCGUUGGAGACCUGGCGAGCGCGUGUUUUUCCUCAUUUCGACUUCUCGCCGUAGUUGGACGAGCUUUUCGAGGUGGGUUGCAAUUUACCGAACUCGUUGGAUUUCCUUCUAAGUUUUAUCAACGUCAACAUGUGUUUCUUGGUUCAUUGGUUUAUCCUGCUAGUACUCGAAUUCAUGGAAGUUAUAGAUUAUGCUAUAGAAUCUGAAUUUGGAGUUAAGCUAGUAAUUACACCUGUUGGACUUGGAAUUGACUUAGGAGAAAAUAUGUAGAACCUACACUGUCAUUUCUGAAAAUUAUUAGAUUUAGCUUUAGGAGCUGUUGUUUGUUUGUAUCACCACUGUUUGUAUGCGGUGGAUAUCCAGAUUAGUAUAGGGUGAGUUUACGCUCGUGCUGAGAUGCCGAGCUUAUUUUACAGUAGUGUGUGGACUAUUUUGGACUGUCAGGUGCCGUCGGGGUUGACGGUGGACCCAAAUCUUUGUAUCACCGCUGUUAGUGCGAGGUGGAUACGUAGAUCAGUGUAGGUUGAGUUUAUACUCGCGCUGUGGAGCCGAGUGUGUUGUUACAGUAGAGUUAGACUGCGUUGGACCGUCGGGUGCCUUCGGGGUUGACGGUGGACCUAGAAUUAUGUAGUUGCAUCAGAUUGUGCCAAGGGGAAGUGAGUUUUGAUGGAUAAAUCAUUUUGACCCUUUACAGUGAUUACAGCCUGUGAGAGCAUAAAUGAACAUCGCAGAGACACUUAUAAACUCGGUUGAGUCUUGCCCACGAAUGUCAUUCCGGAAUGAGGUUUCAGUGUGAUGAGUGUCGCAGUUUCUACUGGGAUGGUUCUUGAGCUGGAUAUAGGCAGGGUAGGUCCGUUUGGGCAGCUCGUGCGAGGUUGGGUCAGUGGGAGUUAGUGACGUCUUUCUCUACCCUUAGUGAGGUUGUGUUGUGUGUUGAGUCGCAGCAGUCCUGUCGAACCUUUUUACUUGGAUCGGCUACUCUUGGGAUACGGUGUAGCCUAGACAGGCGGGACGGGUAUAUUCACAGUCCUUGGAGAGUUUUCUCCUCUGGCUAAUCUUGGAGUGGUAUACGGGUUCGCUUCGACAAGUGCGACGAGUGUAUUCACAGUCCCUAGUGAGAUUGGGUCAGUGAGUGCGUUUUCUAUAUCUACAGAUAGUGGUUAGCAAUAGUAUAAUGACAUAUAUCUACAGAUAGUGGUUAGCAAUAGCAUCCUUUACUAUACUUGUGCAUACUUUCUGUAGACUUACACUCCGUUUGGCUCGGGUAUAAAGGGGGGGAUAAGGGGGAUAUCCCCCCCUUUAUACCCAAACAAAAAAAAAAAUGCGGGUGGGAACAAUGUUCCACCAUAACGGGUUGUACACGAUAACGGGUUGUACCAGGUACACCGUUAUGGUGGAACACUUGUUCGCCACCCGGGGUUGGAACAAGCUUGUUCCCCAAGCUUGUUCAACCCACUGAGUUAGAGAGAGAAGGAGAGAGAGAUUUUAAAAUUUAUAAUUUAUAAUUAUAAUUAAUAAAUUACAAUUUUAAUUUUAAAUUGAUAUUUUAAAUUUUAAAUUUUAAUUUGAUAUUUUAAGUUUCAAAUUUUAAAUUUAUUAAAAUUUAUCUGGUUUAAAUUUAAAGUUUCUAUAUUUUAUUGUUUAAAUUUUAAAUUUGAAAUUAUUUUAAAUUUUAAACUUUUGAAUUUUUAUAGUUUAAAUUUUAAAUUUUAAAAUUUUAAAUUCAAUUAUAGGGAUAAUAUUAUUAUUUUCUAUUUAUAACUACCAACUAUUCCUCUUAUUCCCAAAAACCAUCCAAACACAAUUUUUCUAGUUCCAGCUUAUACUCACAAUUUCAUCCAAACAAAAAAAUACCCUUAUUUCUACAAAAACUCAUGCUUGUACCUAUCCCCGGUAUAACUAGUUCCUACUAAUUCCCGAUCCAAACGGAGCCUUAGUGGGUGAGCCGUUGAGGUCGGUAGCGGUUCCCACUGAGAGCUACUUCUUUUUGCAAUAGUUCUCACACCCAGUUGUUUACCCCUUUUUGCAGAGCAUUCAUCUGCGGCUGCUGCUGUUACAGAUUCUAAUCGUGGAAAGGGAGUUGCGAGCUAGAUCCUUUCUAGUCUUACUACAGUGCUAGAGGAGUACAUUCCAUAGGUAGUUUUGGGGUAUUUUUGUACAUAUGGUUGUUGUCUGUGUACUCGCUGGAGCGAGUGGUGUAGUAGACAUUUUGUAUGUACUGGAACCCCUCGAGGUUUUUAUAUAUGUAUGUUUUCAGUUUAGCCGCUCUCUACCUUGUGGUUGUAGCUUGGUUAUGUUUACAAGUACAGCUAUCGCUUCGUAUACAGAAAAAAUUUCUAUAUAUACGGCGGGUCUGUUGGCAUGCCCGAAAAAAUGUGUAAUCCGGGGCGUGACAGAUUAAGUUGGUAUCAGAGUUUAGCGUUAGGUCGUUGGGACCUAGAAAACCUUAAGCUUGGCAAACCUCAGAAAAGCAAGACGUGAGAGGCAUGAUUUAUCGCGAAAGUCAGCGAUUGAAUUGUUUUAACUCCUCCUAGAGUGGAGUGAGUGACUGAAGGAGUGUCUGUUUCGGCCAAGAAAAUUAUGUCGACUGCAGACGACAUAUUUUGAGGAGAAAUAGGGGCGGCCUUCUAAACUUUCGCUUGAUUGGGUCGAGAGUUGAUUGUGUUUUGUGUCUGACCCUUGUUUUGAUUUCAGGUAGCCAUGUAUCGAUGCCGAGGUCGACCGUCGACACGGGAUCGUUCCGCGCUAUCAGAGAUGCUUGGGCAGGCAAGGUCGAGUGCACCCACAGAUUUGAGAGAGCAGUUGACUGCCCUGACUAAGGUGAUCAGGCAGUAGGGUGUGCUUUUGCAGAGGAUGUGCGAGAUUGUUACUUAGCGGUCGGGUGUUAAUCCAAGAGCAUCUGUGCAGCAGGCACUCUGGGAAGAGCAAGGAGCUAUAGCAGUUCAGGAGCCGUCAACGGUGCCAAUGCAGAGAUAGGAUAGAAAGUGCCCGGUUCUGGAUUAUGGAGAUCCUUUCAGUGGUAGACGUUCACCGAGGUCUCCACAAUCGUGCUCUCAGGGUCGUGGAUUCUCAUCACGACAGCGCUCUGGUGGGUCUUGUCCGCAGCGACAGCAGCAUAGGGUUCCACGGUGUAGCAUUUUUGGGGGACCAUACUGGCCUCGAUGGUGCGAGCAGAAGGAGGGCCGGUGUUUUAGAUGUGGACAAUCAGGGCAUCGACGGGUGGCUUGUCCUCGCGUAGCAUCGUCAGCACUUUCGACGGGGUCGGCCCCACUGGUAUCUUACUAGGCUUUUGAAAUACCGCCGAGCUACAGACAUGCAGAUGGAGUUGCUGUGCUGCAGCAAAGUGAGCAGCGAGAGCAGACAUCAAGUGGUAGCAGGUAUCAUUUUGAUUUCUAGUAUCUGGGUUCAUGCAUUAGUUGAUACCUGUGCAUCUCAUUCUUUUGCUAGUUAAGCAUUUGCAUCAUUGCAUGGUUUUGAGAUAGGGCCACUGUUGCAUGCAUGUGAGGUGCAAAUUCCUGAUCAUGGUUUGUAGGUGGCCGAGUGUUGUUGGUUUUGUCUAGUGAGAUUGGGCUUUUUGAUUUUGCCUACAGACCGGUUAGUCUUGGGGCAGUGUAGGACUUUUAUGUAGUGCUUGGGAUAGUUUGGUUGGCUUGGUACUAUGUUACGAUCGAUUGUGGAGCGAGGACAGUGACGUUCCGCGAGCCAGGCCAGAAUGAGUUCCCGUACAGAGGCUGCAGGAGUAAGUUGUUUGCCAUUUGGAUUUCGUCAGUGAGGGCUUGACAGCUGAUGAGUAGAGGAUGCGUCGCUUUUGUUGAGUAUUAUGUGUUGGCAAGUUUCGUGAACUGAGUCAAAGUCUUGAAGGGUUUGGUGCAUAUUGUCGAAGAUUGAAGAAUCCAAGACUUCGAAGAAAUCAGAAAUAUCUCAUGAUAUGAAUCGCGAUGCUCAGGUAAAGUAUAAAUUCAUGUUAUGGUGAUUUAUACUUAGUUAUAUACAUUAGAAUUAUGAAAAUCAAAGUUUAGUGGAUUAGAAAGUGCUUUGGAACUUUGAAACCGGAGAUUGUGAAAUUCUAAAAACUGCAGGUGUUAACCGGUACAACACUGAAAGAGUACCGGUACCGCAGCUAGUUCUGGUACGGCAUCAGCAUGUUAACCGAUUCUCAGUAUAUAGAAUUUUCUGUGUUGUCUUUUGGUACCGGUACCAACUUGAUAUAGUACCGAUACGCAGUGUAAAAAUCUGAAAUCUUUCUAAUCCGACUCUAACUGAUUCUAAGGUCUAUAAAUAAGCUAUUGGGGUUCUCUAACUUAUAGAACAUCACGAGAAUACCUGUUUGAGAAACUCUAGAGGCCAGGAUUUCGUUCUAAACCUAUUUUCUAUAAAGUAGCCUCUUUUAGGUCAAUUCGAGGUAUUGAAAAUUGAUAUCUAUAUGUCGAAUUGAUCUACACUUCGCUUAGAGAUUCUUCUCUGGUUUUCAUCAAUACUCUAAGCGAAGGAUCACCAUAAUCAUGAUGUUCUUCAUAGACGGCGUUGUGGAUUCGGCGUGAUCGAAGGCGGUUCGAGGAUUUGGAUCGUGUGCUCGUGGAUUCGAGUGGCGUUCGUGGAUUCGGGCGUGUGCAUGGCGUUCGUGGAUUCGAACGUGAGGGGGUGGACAACUCAGAGGAUUACGCGAGAUUCAUAGGAGGUUACUGUGGAGUCGGUAAUCACCUUGUAAUCUUUUCUCUUAGUGAAUUAUUUUUUCGCUUGUUGGUCCCGUGGGUUUUUUACUCCAAGUUGGAGUUUUUCCACGUAAAUCUCGGUGUAAUUUUUAUUUUCCGUAUUUAAUUUUUAUCGCAUUGAGAUUUUUGGUUUUUCGCCGUUAUACCUAUUCAUCCCCCUUUAGGUGUUUGAUACAAUCUUUAUAGAUCCUAGGGCUCCUCGUAACUUAUAGCUUUCUUGGCGACUGUAGUAGAAGUGUCUACGGCGGCGCUGGGACCCGAGGAUAUCCUUAUAGUCCGUGAGUUUCCUAAUAUUUUUUCCUUAGAGUUGACGACUAUGCCACCGGAUAGAGAGAUUAAGUUUGUGAUUGACGUAGUUCUUGGAACUGCGCUAAUCUCCAAGGCACCCUACCGAAUGGCACCGGCAGAGCUGAGAGAGCUGAAGGCACAGUUUCAGAAUCUGAUGGAUAAAGAGUAUGUGAGACCCAGUGUAUCGCCUUGGGGAGCGCCGGUAUUGUUUGUAAAGAAGAAUGAUGGUUUACUUAGGUUGUGUGUGGAUUACCGGGAGCUGAAUAAAGUGACCAUUAAGAACAAGUAUCCUUUGCCGCGCAUUGAUAAUCUGCUCGAUCAUCUGCAAGGAUCUUGUGUCUUUUCGAAGAUUGAUCUCCAGUCAGGUUUCCACCAGUUGAGGGUGAAGGCCGAGGAUGUUCCUAAGACUACUAUUCGAACUCGGUACGUGCAUUCUAAGUUCACUGGAAUACCUUUUGGAUUGACGAAUGCCCCUGCCGCAUUUAUGAAUUUGAUGAAUAGAGUGUUUAAGCUGUUCUUGGAUAGAUUUUGGUUGUGUGCUGAUGCAGCAUAGUAGGUUAAUUACUUAUGCUUCUCGAAAAUUAAAGGAUUACGGGAAGAAUUACCCUACGCAUAACUUGGAACUUGACGCGGUGGUUUUUGCUUUGAAGUUUUUGCAGCACUACUUGUAUAGCGAGCACUGUGAGGUUUUCACUGAUCAUAAAAGUCUCAAGUAUUUGUUCACCCAAAAGGAGUUGAAUCUGAGGCAACGCCGGUGGUUGAAGUUAUUGAAGGACUAUGAUGUUAGUAUUCAGUAUCACCCAGGCAAGGCGAACAUGGAGGCAGAUGUGUUGAGCAGAAAGUCAGUGCAGAGCUUGAGCAUGUUGAUUACUAAGCAGAGGCCGUUACUUGAGGAGCUGCAGCGGUUGAGACUCGAGGUAGUGUCCUCUAGGUCUACUGCAAGACUGAUGUUUAUGGUCUUGCAGCCCACUCUGUUAUACAGGAUCAGGGAGAAACAGAGUGGAGACUCUCACUUGUUGAGGAUUCGAGAGCAGUUGGAGAGGGGACAGACAGAGUCUUUUUUUAUGGACAGUUCGGGAGUACUGCGAUACAAGGACCGACUGUGUGUGCCUAUGGAUUCAGAGAUCCGAGAGAAAAUUUUGAGAGAGGCUCAUUACUCACCUUAUACAGUUCACCCUGGUGGAACCAAGAUGUAUAAGGACUAGAAGGCACACUUUUGGUGGAAUGGAAUGAAGAGGAAUAUUGGCAGAUUUGUAGCUUAGUGUCUGACUUAUCAACAGGUAAAGGCAGAGCAUCAGAUACUUGCUGACAAGCUCCAGAGUCUGCCAGUGCCCGAGUGAAAAUGGGAGUAGAUUACGAUGAACUUUGUCGUGGGAUUGCCGAGAACAUAGGGUGUUUUCGAUGCUGUUUCGGUGAUAGUGGACAGACUGACUAAGUCUGCUCACUUCCUACCAGUAUAGACCACCUGGUCCAGGGAGAGACUCGCUCAGCUAUAUUUGGAUGAGAUUGUGAGGAUGCAUAGUGUGCCUACUUCGAUAAUAUCGGAUAGAGACCCGAGGUUGGUUUCGCACUUUUGGAUGAGUCUUCAGACAGCCUUGGGUACACAAUUGCAUUUAAGCACGGCGUUUCACCCACAGACAGAUGGUCAGUCAGAGCGGACCAUUCUGACUCUGGAAGACAUGCAGAGGGCAUGUGUCCUGAACUUUGGAGGAGGGUUGUAUCGACAUUUGAGAUUGGCUGAGUUCGCGUACAACAACCGCUGUCAAACGAGCAUUCGGAUGGCUCCAUUUGAGGUGUUGUAUGGAACUAGGUGUCGAUCCUCUUUGCAUUGGAGUGAUGUGGGUGAGAGGAUCUGAGACCUGAGAUUCUGAUAGAGGCAGAGGAAAAGGUUAAGAUUGUAUGACGACAUAUUUUGGCAGCCCAGAGUUGACAAAGGAACUACGCCGAUACUAGGAGACGAGACUUAAAGUAUCAGGUUGGAGACCAUGUGUUUUUGAAAGUCUCGUCAUCCCGAGGGAUACACAGAUUAGGGGUACGUGGAAAGCUCAGUCCACACUUUGUAGCCCCUUUCGAGGUAUUGGAGCGAGUUGGACCAGUAGCAUAUAGGAUUGCUCCACCCCCACGACUAGCCGGUGUUCAUGAUAUUUUUCACGUCUUAGUAUUGAGGAGAUACGUGUUCAACCCCUCACACGUGAUUGACUUCACUCCACUGGAGCUUGGCGAGGAUUUGAGAUACGAGGAGCGACCGGUGCUGAUUCUGGCUCGUUAGACGAAAGAAUUACGCAAUCGGGUCAUCCCGUAUGUAAAAGUGCAAUGGAGCAAACACGAGGAGUAUGAAGCGAGAGCCGGAGACGGUGAUGCAGAAGUCCUACCCUUUCUGAUUGAGAUAUACGUUAAGUUUCGAGGACGAAACUUUUUAUAGUGGGGGAGGAUGUAGUAUCCCUGAUUUUUGGGUUGCCCGUGGAUCUCAACAUCUGAGGCUUAUCGACAUAUCUGGAGAGUGUCGGAACAAGUCAGAGUCGUUUUGGCACGAAAUGGACGCAAAACGGACUCAGCGUGACGUGAGAGUAGUGUAUUGACAUUGGAAUCUGCAAAGUGCAGGUUUUCAGUAUUGAGUAUCGAUACCGCGCAGGAGAGUACGGUACCCCAGUGUAAAUCCUGGACAGCAUGCUCUCGGGUUCCGCCAAUUGAUGUUGAGUACCGGUACAGCAUCGGGCUGGUAUCGGUACCUGGUGUGCGAGCUUGUGGGCUGAGAGGCCGAGUACCGAUAAACAAAUCGGGUACCGGUACUCCAGCUAGAAUUUUGAGUUGGUAAGGGGUAUUUUGGGUAGAGAUAUGUCGAUACCUUCAAUCUUAUCCCAAUCGCUUUAUAUUUGUGUAGAGAUGCAGAGAGUGAGCUUCUGGUUGCUACUUCCUCUCUCUCUCUAGUUGGAGUCGACACUCGGGGUGGAGUCGCGGCUCGAGCUUGGGAGUUUGUCGCCGUUGCGCCGGAGGGUCAUUCGAGCGUGUAGGCAUCGCGGUUGCGUCGUUGGAGACCGGGCUAGCGCGUGUUUUUCCUCCUUUUGACUUCUCGCCGUAGUUGAACAAGCUUUUCGAGGUGGUUUGAUGUUUACCGAACUCGUCGGAUUUUCUUCUAAGUUUUAUCAACGUCAACAUGUGUUUCUUGGUUCAUUGGUUUAUCCUGCUAGUACUCGAAUUCAUGGAAGUUAUAGGUUAUGCUAUAGAAUCUGAAUUUGGAGAUAAGCUAGUAAUUACGCUUGUUGGACUUGGAAUUGACUUAGGAAAACACUUGUAGAUCCUACAUUGUCAUUUCUGAAAAUUACCAGAUUUAGCUUUAGGAGCUAUUGUUCGUUUGUAUCGCCGUUGUUUGUAUACGAUGGAUACCUAGAUUAGUGUAGGGUGAGUUUACGCUCGUGCUGGGAUGCCAAACUUAUUUUACAGUAGUGUGUAGACUGUUUUGGACUGUCGGUGCCGUCGGGGUUGACGGUGGACCCAGAUUUCUGUAUCAUCGCUGUUAGUGCGAGGUGGAUACUCAGAUGGGUGUAGGUUGAGUUUACACUCACGCUAUGGAGCCGAGUGUGUUGUUACAAUAGAGUUAGACUGUGUUGGAUAGUCGGGUGCCGUCGGGGUUGACGGUGGACCAGAGUUAUGCGGUUGCAUCAGAUUGUGCCAAGGGCAAGUGAGUUUUGGUGGAUAAAUCAUUUUGGCCCUUUACAGUGAUUACAGCCUGUGAGAGCAUAAAUGAACUUCGCAGAGACACUUGUAAACCUGGUUGGGUCGCGCCCACGAAUGCCAUUCCGGAAUGAGGUUUCAGUGCGAUGAGUGUCGCAGUUUCUGUUGGGACGGUUCUUGAGCUGUAUCAGGCAGGGUGGAUCCGUUUGGGCAGCUCGUGCGAGGUUGGGUCAGUGAAAGUUAGUGACAUCUUUCUCUACCUUCAUUGAGGUUGUGUUGUGUGUUGAGUCGCAGCAGUCCUGUCGGACCUUUUUACUUGGACCGGCUACUCUUGGGAUACGGUGUAGCCUAGAUAGGCGAAAUUGGUGUAUUUACAGUCCCUAGAGAAUUUUCUCCACCGGCUAAUUUUGGGGUGGUAUACGAGUUCGCUUCGAUAGGUGGGAUGAGUGUAUUUACUGUCCCUAGUGAGAUUAUGUCAGUGAGUGCAUUUUCUAUAUCUACAGAUAGUGGUUAGCGAUAGUAUAAUGGUAUAUAGCUAUAGUGUUUUACCAGUAUCAUUUACUAUACUUGUGCAUACUUUCUGUAGACUUAGAGGGUGAGCCGUUGAGGUCGGUAGCAGUAUCCACUGAGAGCUACUUCUUUUUGCAAUAGUUCUCACACCCAGUUGUUGACCCUUUUUGCAGAGCCUUCGUCUGCGGCUGCUGUUGUUACAGAUUCUGAUCGUGUAAAGGGAGUUGCGAGCUAGAUCCUUUCAAGUCUUACUGCAGUGUUAGAGGAGUACAUUCCACAGGUAGUUUUGGAGUAUUUUUGUACAUAUGGUUAUUGUCUGGGUACUCGCUGGAGCGAGUGGUGUAGUAGACAUUUUGUAUGUACUGGAACCCCUCGAGGUUUUUAUAUAUGUAUGUUUAUAGUUUAGCAGCUCUCUACCUUAUGGUUGUAGCUUGGUUAUGUUUACAGGUACAGUUAUCGCUUCGUAUACAGAAAAAAUUUAUGUAUAUGGUGGGUCUGUUGACGUGCCCGGGAAAUGUGUAAUUCGGGAUGUGAUAGACAGUGACGACGAUUCCUUUUGUCAUAGCAGGGGGGGAGGUGGGCAUGCAUUUGUGAAAGAAAUGGAGGGAGGUGAAAGUGUACAGGAAAAGAUAAAGAAGAGAGAAUUGGUAAAUUAAUUGAAAAUAGAGAGUUGGGGAUUAUAGAUAGCAGCGGGCCGUUUGGAUGCAUUUGUCACGCCCCGGGGUCCCUUUUAUAAAGCCAUUUGAAAAGAAAGCCGAGUCAAAGCCAAUGAGUCAAUGAAAAAUACCCUUUUUUUAAAAAAAAAAAUCUUGACUGAAGGGAUGACAGAGCCGCCACAAAUACGGAGAAUCCUUUGUCCACACAGAAUCUCCUCUAUAUUUGCACUGCGUCGCACAUAGUACAAAUCACAACUACAUCCAUUCACAAUUUACAAUCACAACGGUAUAUCACAAGAUUCCACAUCUACCAGUUGAAAGUGCUUUCCAUCGAAAAACUCAUUUUGAAAUACUAGGAUCACGAAAAGCUGAAAAACUCUUUUAAAAACUGUUUUACACACGUAAACCUUUUAUCUUUAGAAGCAAGCUACUACGAGGGAUAGAAAGUCAUUUUUCAUAGAUCCACACGAUUUCAAAUCAAAUUGAACCUUAAUA
rnacentral:lncRNA from 1 species